GUUGUUAGACUAGACAAUGCAACAAUGGAGGGUGGCAUCUCCUCAAGGUUGGAGCAUUUGACAAGCAGGAGCUCUUUUAGAUUAGGCAUGUUAUGGAAGAAGUCGCCUUGGAAGUUGCUUAUAUUUGAAUAGGAGAGAUCGAAGUAGUAGAGCGAGCUGAGCUUUUUGUUGUUGUUGUUUUCACGGAGAGUAAUUUCUGUAUCUGGGAAGCUGAAUGGACUUCUGAGGUUAUAGCAGCCCCUAAGAGAAAGCAAUUGGAGUUUUUGGAGACAACAGAUUGAAGGAGGAAGUGAUUCUAGAGGAGUGUAGGAAAGAUCCAGAACAUGAAGGCAAGAAAGCUUGGCCAAGAAAUGAUUAGAUUGAAGCUUCAAGAACAACCUCGACUGCUGGGGGCAAUGCCUUAUAAUGAGUGUUGUUGGGCCGUUGGCUCCCUGCCUUAACCAUUCUCUGCUUACAUGCCAUCCUUGAUCACCCAGAUGUGAGAUCCACCGCAUGCGCUCCAGUCCAGGAUGAUUUCCCUCACAAAGAAAAACUUCUUCUGUUGUGUGGCACUCUGCAACGAGAUUAUAACAAGCUAGGAAGUGUGCAACAGAUUUUGUGGCUUCAACAACUUUAGUUGCAGGUGAAAAGGGAAGCUGCACCAACGAGUACUCUCGAAAAGCUUCAAGGAUGACAUUUCCCACUUGGUAUAUAUUAUUGUAUUUGUCUUGGCAGUCAGCUGCUGUCACUUCCUUUGUUCUUUCUAGCACCCCAGUAAUGAGGCCUUGUAUGGCCCAUUGACGUAUCAGCUCAUCUGAAGUAAUAUCAGCUAGUGCGUCACAACUCUGCUGAUCUCCAUCUCUAUGGGCAUAUGAACAGUGUGGAAUGAGCAGCAUGAGGAUGUAGUGAAAGCACCGGACGGCCACGUGGUGCCAAUAUUGUUCAUCUUUGUGGCCGGUCACGCCGAAGAUGUACUUGGCUGUUUGAUGCAAUGAGUAGAUAGUAAGCAUCAAUAUGUCAUCCCCACUGAAAGAAUCAACGACACAAUCAUAAUCCGGCUUGCUACUGUCAUAGACAUCUUUGGAGGUGCCGGAUACAAUCCAGAAAGAGCCUUCCCACUGAGGAGGAGGAAGGCAUGAUAAGUCUUCCGUGAAAGCACUAAGAUUGAUGGGCUUAAUGGGCUCAUUGAGGUUGUUAAUCACCAGCAGGUACUUCUUCUCCAGCAGCUUUUUCACUAUUUGAUAAACCGUUGAUUUUACAUUUUUUUGCAAGGAGUCCGUUGCAUCCUGGUAGCCAUAGGUAUAGUACCACAGCUCAUCGCCCUCUGCUUUUAGCAUGUCGUAUUCUUGGUUGAGUAGCCCAAGCUGCUCCGCCACUUUGAUGGCCAGCUUGUCAUUAAUACUGAGCCUCGUUCCAAGCACUAACGCCUGCUUCAUGUCCACCUCUAUCACGUGGUCAAAGGGACCACGUUUCUUGAUCUUGACCUCCCGAGUGAUGCUUGAUAUAGCUCGUGUGAAACAUGCUGCGGGUCCCACCCCAACAUUCCACUGCACGAAUAUAUACCUGUCGAGUUUUUCUUCCAAGUCACGAUAUGCAGGGCUCUUGAGAAAUCCUUUCAACCUGGCAGCACAAAUAAAAAAGGCUCCGUUACAUGCUUUUUGAACAACUUGUGCUCAAUGUUGAGUAAUUUGUUAAUCAUAUUCUCUUUUAUGCCUGCCCAUUUAUUUUAUUUUUAUUCUCACGUUUGACGCUACUGAAAACAGCAAACAUGAAGCUUAAUGCCGAUACUGUACAUCCUUGUCCGUUGACAUAUAAAAUCACUUUUUUAUGCAUGUUUUAUCAACAAACUUAUUUGAUAAUGAUAACAAUAAUAAGUAUAAGAAUUCGGGUGCAUAUCUGAGUGAAAAUGCUGUCAUUAACACCGGGUAUGGGAAAGACAAGCAAAAUAAUUCUUUCUUUUCUUCAAAAUAAUUCUUUCUUUUCUUCACGAUAUAACUGUUAAUUGAAUAAAUAAAGCUUGCCAUGUGGCUUUCUUUAAAAAAACAUAAGUAGAAAUGUGGCCUGCAUAAAUUUUUGUGUUGUUGUUCUGAUGACCAAAAAUAUAUGUUUAAAUAUUCUUUUAGGCAAUAUAAAUCUUUAUGUUUUAGCAAAACAGGAACAAUUAACUGGCACUUAUAACACUUUAUGAAGCCAUUGAACAUAUUAGGUGACCUAGAGAAAUGGAUUAAGAAAACAAAGCAUAUGCAUCCGAGAGAAAAAGGAGGAACAAAAUUAGGAGAUUCGAGAAAGAUGAUCAUGGCGUGGUGGCGGAGGCGGUGGGGCUUAUAACUCUAUUGCUGACUUGUUUGAAUCAAGUGCACGUCAUAUGACUAGCUCCCUCAUCAAGUUCAUCCCAUUGUUUCACCUAAGUUGAUGUAUGAGUUCCUAUUGAGGGAGUAUAGUGAUGAUGAGAUUAAAAAGCCUUGAAUUGCAUGGGCGGUCUCAAAGCACCAGGGGUUGAUGGUAUGCCAGCUUUAUUUUUUUAAAAAAUAUUGGGAUAUUGUUGGCAAAGAUGUGUGGUGCAGGAGGUGAGGAAGCUACCGUUGGAAGGUGAAAUGCCCAAAUGAUGGAAUGUCAUUUCACUAGAUAUGAUUGCCUAGAACAAAAAUGUGAUUUGUGCCCGGCCAUCUAAUCACGUAUAAUGUGCUCUUAUAAAUGAACCCACUUCAUGCAGACAAAAAUGUCGUCGUUGUUGGCACCAAUAGAACACGGGCUAUGAUUUCUCCUGGCAAUUUCCCGACCCACCGGUGUAGCGUAGCCACCGAGAAGGGAGCUGCAGAGCCAUGCCUCGUACACGGUCCGUGCUGGGGAGUAUGGCUUGCACUACUAGAGAACUGAUUUUAGAUACCACCCCAUUUAGUCUCGGUUUAAUUUCGACCCGGGAGAAAAGGGGGUGCGCUACAAUUUACUCCUGGUUGGUAUUUGCAAUCGGGACUAAAGGGGACCUUUUAGUCCCGGUUCAAAAAUCAGGCACAUGUGAGGAUCCUUUAGUCCCGGUUGAAAAAUUCAGGCACAUGUGGGGGACCCUUUAGUCCAGGUUGGUAAGAUCAAUCGGGACUAAACGGUGACCCUUACCACCCGGGACUAAAGCAACCAGUAUAAAAGGGGUCCUUUAGUCCCGGUUGGAAACUCCAACCGGGAUAAAAGGGUCCCCCACAGGUGGCUAAAAAAAGAAUAAAGCCCUCGGACCCUUUUUAUGACGGUUGGUGUUUCCAACCGGGAUAAAAAGGGUCCCCCACGUGUGGCUGGGAAAGGACUAAAUCCCUCGAACGUUUUUAUCCCGGUUGGUAUUACCAACCGAGAUUAAAUGAGGUCUUUAAUCCCGGUUGGUGUUACCAACCCGGAUUAAAGGGUCCUCCAUGAGUUAAUAUAAAAGGAUAGCAUCUCCUAUAUAGACAGAUGUGGUGUGUAGGUGGGAUGGCAAGGAAGCUAUGCGCAAGUCUUGAGGUCAUGGGUUCGAAGCCCACGGACCACGCACGCACAUAUUUCGCGUGAAAAAUUGUGUGACUUGAUAAAAGCAACGUUGUGCGUGUGGGGGGCCUCUAGGACCCCCCAAUAUUUUUUAUUUUUGCAAUUUUUUUUGCAAAACCGCGUGACAACCGUUUUAUCCCGGUUGGUAUUACCAAUCGGGACUAAAAGGGGAUCUUAUAUCCCGAUUUUGGGACCCAUGAUAAAAGACACCCCCCUUUUAUCUUGACGGAUUAAUCCCGGAUGUAUGUUCGGGAGAUAUGCACCCUACGAACCGGUACUAAUACCAAGUUUUCUAGUAGGGUUGAGAGAGUGGUGAGCAUUCAUAAUGCGAACCCAUUGCGCUGGCGGGCAAGAUAUGGGGCCCUACUGCUGCUGACCGAGAAGACAUCGGAUUUGGUAGUAGGUGAAAUAGAUCCGGCUCGGGAGGCCGCACUCCCGCCGCUAGCACCGGUUGCUAUGGCUGCCGGUGGGUAUCACCAAGCCAGGAUGGGGGAGGUAGGGAGACGGCGGGUGGAUGCUAGAUCUAGCUGGAUAGGGGUGGAUCUAGCCUCUGCAGAGCCAACUGCAACCCAUUGGAGCUUGCCUAGCCAUGGUGGCUUUUGGUGCAAAAAGAGAAGGCCACGUGGGGGGAGGAGACCCGCUGGUGAAGGCCCGCUGCCGCCAUCCUCACGCCUGCAUGGGCUUCCGGCGUGGCGCUCUGGUGGCAGCAAGGUGGAGGGAGGGGGAAGGUCUAUAGUGGUGGUGGUGGCGGCCCGCUCGAGGCACCCUAGGUGGAGAGGGUGACACGAGCAGCCUUCCAACGAUCUACAAUGGGUUGUCUAUUAAAUUGUUUCUCAAUAUUCUACACUAAUUAAUGAUUACACAAAAAGACACAUACAAUGGUUAUUGUGUUGUCUAUAAAACAUCUAAAUUGUGUUGGCCAUCAUAUCUUGUGCCAAACCCAUCUCUUUGUGAAGAUACAGCUUUGCUCGCUCUCAUUUACUCUAUGCCACAUGGGGUAGAAAUGCUUGCAUGGCUCAUGUAACUGAUCUUACAAAGUUUUGGGUAAGGUUUUAUGAGUAAGAGUAAACCCUAGUUCUCGUGUCCUAGCAUAUAUAUACUCCUUCACCAACAUCGAGGAGGUUCUUCAUUAGCAUUCUGAACAGGAGUUUCUUGAAUUCCUCUUCUUCCCCUCAUUUGUUUAGUAAUCCAUUUCUUGAGAGAAUGAGAGCAUUCUACCAUCAAACAAGUGUCGCUGCCUUGUUACUUGAGGUUGCUACAUCCUAGAAGAUUCUUAGAAGACAAAACUCUUGAGGUUGUAAACUAUACAAAACCUGGUUGUUCUUGUGAAGGGUGUUAUAUGCUCGUCUUAGCAAGAGAGAUGAAGAGCAUCUCUAGUAAAAUCUAGGCUUGGACAUUCUGAUCUGAGGUGGUUCAGCAUUAAGAGGUGUGUUGACACAAGCGGCUGCAACAUAUAGUCCACCUUAUCGUGGAUCAAGUGUGAAUGACAUUUCAUUAGUACUAUGGAAUAAAAUUAUUGUCUUGUGAUUGUUUAUCUCCUGGACUCAACUUAUAUACGUGCAAGUUACUUUGAGCAAAUUUAUAUUCCUAAGUACCGGAUUGCUCUUAUUACCUAGGUGGCUAGAUCGCAAAACUUGACAUAGGAUAUGUUGUGUCGUGAGUUAUUUAUUUUCCACUAACCAUAGUUGCUAGUUUUGCAAAAUUAGUUGAAACCCUCUACCUAGUAUCCUUUGAUCCUAAAGUAGCAUGCAGCCAUAUCAUUUACCCUCUUUUGGCAGAUGCAGAUAGAAAGCCGUUGGCUGUGAACUAUGAUGUUUUUUCCAUGUUUAAACUAACAUUUUUUCGGACAGUGGUUGCUUAUUCUUGAGAUUUGAAAGGUGAUUGUGCUCGGUAUGUUGUGCUCCGUAAGUGUGCUCUUGCUUAGGGAGCUAGAUGCAUGUAUAUGAGGUGAAAGGACCGUGCCCCUUGGUUUUGUGCUUUCAUGACUGUUAGUUUAAUUUCCUGUUGCCUUGAAGGAGGAAAAAAUAGAGAAGAAAGAAUUAAAAUGCAAGCUACAUUGUACGGGAGAGAGAGGAAGAUGAUAAGAAAGUAGAAAGGUCAAUGCCAUGUCGCAUCUAUGAAAUAUGACAUGAUGACAACUUGCUCAAAAAUGACAUGAGUGGAUUAUUUAGAUGGCAUUCAAUACUCCAAGGGAUGAAUGCAUGGUUUGUUUGCUAGAGUUGGUUAAGUAGAUGAAUAUCAAUACAAAAAGGACUAUCACAUAAUGUUCAUACUCCUUAUCAUAAGACUAUGUCUAAGUUCCUAUGAUACUUGAGGUCAUCACAAAUUUGUGAAAACUCUAUUACAUAUGGUUCACAACUGUGGUAUGCUGCUAUUAAUUGUUUGUGUAAGUUCCUGUGAUAUUGAUGUCACCACACAUUGUGAAAAACUAAAAACUCUAUCACAAAUGGUUCACAACUGUGAUAUGCUUCUACCUCUAGUUCUUAGCUUAAUGAAUAGUAACUAUUGCCAUGAAAAGUUCUGAGUUAUGAGAUUUGUGUUUGUUAAACAGAUGAGAAAGUCAUGUCCUUUCGGGGGAGAGGGAGAGGGGUAUGUAACUGUCUUGUUUGAGUUUGCUGUACAAAUUAAAAGUAAAAUAACAAAACUUAUACAUAUUAGAUUUUAAAAGUAACAUACCAGAAGUUGAUGUCUUGCAGAUAAUGACGCCAUUCAUUCAAUGGCAUUUUAAAAGAAAAUGGUUCCGCCAUGACUAACGUCAGUAGUUGACUCAAAUUGUCAAAUUGUGGAACCUGCCAGUGGUAGAAGUAAUUUGAACUAGUUAUUAACACAGAAUUACAAAGUUGUUUGGACAAAACAUGAAUAAAUAGUUAAACAAUUAAACAAUUACUGUUGUGGUCAUUGUUUUAUUUACCUACCUAUGCACAGGUCAAUAUAAUAGCUAGGUAGUUCAUUUGGAUAAAUUUAUUUGUAGCUAGAAAUUGUAAAAUAGAAAUCAGGGCACUGAGUUAGAAUAUUCAAAAAAUGAACUUAUUUCACAUUUGAGCAUUCAGAAGCUAACAUAUAUACAUGAUUAGAUCUAGAUUGCAUACCUACUUAUACAAAAACUAAUCACAUUUACCUUUAUAAGUAUAUUAUGAGUAAGGUUCUACAAAAUUUUUACUGGAGCACACAAAAUAGAUGUCAAUUGAGCGUCUUGUAAAAUACUUUUUUUAACACCUACUGUAACCACGUAUAGGAGGAAGAUUCUCCUGGUUUCAAAAUUAGUAGUCCUGACCUGACCAAAAACAUCGUGUCCUUCAUGAGGCUAGAUGGGGACAAGCUCCUAGAUUCACAUAGUAUUGCAGGGUCCAACCAAUUCAUGGAUUGACAAAAUAUGCAAGUUGCAAGGUACUCGUGCUUCUAGAUAAAGUUGACUUGAUCUAAAUCUUAAAUAAAGUUUACCUCUAAGAUGAAUAAAUUUCUACUUUCAUGUGUAAUCAUAACAAAAUCAUUUAAAAUUUAAUGUAUCGGUUUAAUUGAAUUUAAUGUUAAUCACUGCUAUAGUUAGUGUUUAUUUACCUCUGAUUUAACUUUGGCUGGUUGUCUAUAGUGAAUUUUCCCGGCGGAAUAACUUAGCGUGAUAUAACAUCAUACAGUUCCUUCGCCAAGAAAGCAAAAUUUUAACCUGAAGGUUGGCAAUACAUAUUGUCUCUCCAAGUAUGCUCCAGAAGAAAACACUUGUUUAUAUAAUAGUCCUGAGAAAUAAUGAGCAGUUCACAGCCAUUAUAUUAAUCAGAGCUUUUUAGUGCUAGCAAAUCAUGAAACAAGAAUGAUGCGUAUUAGUACCUGGUGCCAAAGUUUGUUGAUACUGCGUGGAUGACAGGAUAUGACUUUAACUUUCUGGGUUUCAGUUUGAACGGGGUUGGAUCAUAUCAAUAUUUUUGGUGUGUCAAUUUGUCACUAGAAGAAGAAAGUAAUUGCUAGAACGAAGGAAUAAAUAAAUAAUGUUUUGUUAGAACCAAUAAAUCAAAGAAAGGCAUUAGCUGUAGUGUAGAAGAACAAUGGAAAGGGAAUUUUGUUUCACUUUUUUUUUUAUUUUAUCACGAAGGAAAAAGGGCACGAAACAAGGGCAUGUAAAAUAAAAAGGAUAAAACGGCAUAAAAAUGCAGACUAACUGUACAGGAAUCAGCAUAUGUUUCUGUGAUUUUUAACUAAAGUUGAUGAACAAAAGCCAUAAUUCUAGAUAUGAAAGAACAAGAGUGAUAGGCAAACAAUCAGAUGUUUUUCUUGGGGUGGUGAUGGGGUGUUUGUGGAGGAUGGAUGGAGUUUUUUGUACUGUACUAGUUACUUCGUUGGGUACCUGAGAGAACCAGAACUGGCUGGUGGAGCAAAUGAGCAAAACGAAUAGCUGGGAAGGGAGUUGGCCAUUGUCCAUUGCUGUGCUCUCUUAUAGACAGGAAGCGAGGAACAGAGGGGCAAUAUUCUCUGGUUACGACAGCACGCAAAGUAUGCAUCUCUCAGCAAAGCUAAAGACUAAAGUUGAGAAUACCUAAGGAAUGGAUCAUACCAUGUCCAGAGAAGAAAAUGUAACAUGCAGGCUUAAAGAACAAAGGGCAUCCCAGGAUGGAGUAACAACCAUGACAAGGCACAAUGGCACGCCUUAAUAAAGCACGCGAGCGGAGCAAAGGAAGUAUUGCUUUGCUUAUAUCACAGUUGACAAUUUACCUCAACAACUGAACAUGACUACUCGUUCCGAUCCCGUCCGUUGGAUCCUCGCCUCGUCUGCUCUCUCGCCUCUCUCUCUCUCUCUCUCUCUCUCUCUCUCUCUCUCUCUCUCUCUCUCUCUCUCUCUCUCUCUCUCUCUCUCUCUCUCUCUCUCUCUCUCUCUCUCUGUUUCCCGUCAUCCAUGGCCAUGGAGAUCGAUCCCAUAAUCCCAUUCUCAUGCAGUCGCACUCGGAUGGCAGACACGAUCCCUACGGCCUACGUGUACGGCGAAUGGCGGCGAACGUGAUUUGAAACAGGCGGUGUCAUCUGAAUCUGCACGAAUCCAAUCCCUAAACGAGAAGAUGGAAACACAAGAGGAUUCAUAUCCACCUGACCGUUGACUCGUGGUGCCUAGUUAGCGAAACAGGACACAGUGCAAGCUACUAUGGCAAGCAAAUGAGCAAAACUAAGGAACCAGACAGCACUAUUGUUCUGAGCCGUCUCAACAUCAUCUGUCCAAUCCGAAAUGUAAACAUUUCCUAGUGUCCAGACUCCAGAACCAUUACUAGCAAUUAGUAGUUUAAAUUUUUAGUUGACACUCGAUCCGCACGCUGCCGGUACUUUGAAGCAUAAUUUACUUGAUUGCAGAUUAGCAGCCGAUCAAUCCACGAAGCAAACGUCCACUAGCUAGUACUAGAUCAAGCAUUGCAGGAAAUUAAACAAAUUUUAUUAAUUUCAAACAAAGCAGACUCUGUUAUAGUACACCAAUUCAAUACUUCAAAUAGAACAUACAUAAUCAAACAAGAGCAAGUUCAACAACACGUAGCAGCAAACAUACAUUACAUAGAUUAUAUAAUAAUAAUUUUGGCAUGCCGAGAUGGUCAUGCUGACAGACAAUCCGAUACUAUUGUAGCAAACAGAUUUAUAUUAUUACACCAGGCCAGUUUCACGCCGGCAAUCAAAGUCAAUGCAAAAACUGAUCGAAACAAGCACACAAGACACUCUUUUUUCUGGGAACUUAGCUUCUUCAUUAAUUAAGCAGCAUCAUUACAAUCAUUAAGCAGGCAUAGCUGCAAGAAGCUAGGGAAUUUUGGUUGGUCAUCAACCUCCAUCCCUGUUUGCCCAGCAUUGCGAUGUUGAAGAGUUUGAUGUCCCUGAAGCCCAUGCCUCCAUAGCACUUGGGUAAAGUGAGCUCCGACCAGCACCUCCAGUGUAUUCCCCGGCGAUCAACCUUGCUGCUCCACCAGUAGUUGGAGAUAGCCGAAGUUGUAGCACUGCAAGGGUGCACGGGAACCUGAGUAAAUUUCAGCUGCACGCGUUGUCUCGCUUCGGGGCGGCACGGGGGCACCUCCCACCUGCCGCCGCCAGCCCCAUCCAGCAGCCCAGCCGGCCGCCGUCCUGUCGGCCGGCGGCAGCAGCGGCCACACUUUAUUGGUGUUUUAUACCCGACAACCUAAUGAAGAGUAUCCUGAGGUAGUAAAUUGGUUGGUGGGGGAUCGUCGGAUCUGGAACUCAAAGGUAAAAGUGAGGAUAGAAGACACAGAUUUAUACAGGUUCGAACCGCUAGAGUAGUGUAAUAUCAUACAUCCUGUUUGGGGUGUUGUAUAUUGCGCCUUGCGCUUGGGUGUUGUUUGGUGUUGAGGAUUUGGUCCUCUGUUGUGGUUCUAUGAGGUCUUCGUCUACUGAUCUAGGGACCCCUGUCCUCCUUUAUAUACUCCAAGGGGUGGGAUUAAUAGUCGGUUACAAGGAGGAGUCCUAGUAGGAUUACAUGGUAUGACUUCUGAUAGGAUUACAGAGGAAUCCUAGUAGGAAUCCGUCUUCUUCCUUCCUUGCGGGUAUUGGGGAUCUAUACCCGACACGCCCCUUCCCUCCUCUCUCAUUUUCCUCUCUCCUCUAACCUUCUCCCUCUCCCCUGUCUCCUGUCCAGUGCUGCUAGUUGUUGCCGCCGGCUUGCUUGCUGCUGCCGCCAUUGGAGGUCAACAUUGCAGAUCUGGGUGGCGGCACGCUGGAUCCAAACCACAGCCCACCAGAUUUGGGUGGUGGGGUCCAUCUGUGGCUGCCUGGCACCGGCGAUGUUUAGGGCUCUGCGGCAGUCUGGGAGCGGGGUGCUGGGGUCGACCAGUGGAGCUUUCUCUCUCGGCAUGCCUGUGCCUCCAGCGGGUUGAGAGAUCUCCACCGUGCGCUCCUGCCAUUCGGAAUCUCCAGCCGCUGGGCCCGAUUCUACGCUUCCCUAGUUUGGAUCUUUGUCUUUCGGGCCCGUGGCCGCUACAGUUUGGGAUCGCCCGUGGUUCGCUGCAGACUGGAGGUGGGGGGCCUCUCCCCUUCGCCUCUCCGGUCCCCCCGGCUUGCCGGAUCUGGCUAUUGGGGGUGUUGCGGUGUGCCCGGGUGCCACUACCAUUAGGUGGCAUGUGUGGUGGGCUAUCUUCAUCUCAUUCCAAGAUCUUCAGGCGCCCUACUCGGUGAUGUGCUGAGCCAACAACGAUGGUGGUUGAGGGCCUCGUUCCCCUCCUCGGAGGCAUUGUUGAAAAGUCUCGGGAGACGUAGACCUUCCGCCCCGCCGCCGCUUUGCCGUUGAUGUGUUCCACCUGUGCUUUCACUGCUUUGGCCGCUGUCCUUUGUGUGGUUGCUGCCACCAUUGGUGGUUCCAUCCCGUCGAUGCUGCUUGUGGAUAGUUGCUUCGCUGGGGGGUCGCGGCACACUUUGGGGGAUAGGGGUGAGGCGUAAGCCUCUGCCUGCUUGCGGGCUGGUGAUGCCGACGCCCUCAGGCACCGUUUCCCUCCUUGGAGGCAUCAUUCGUUUGCCCCUUGCCCCUCCGAGACCCCCAAGUCUGGAUGGUGUGGUUCUUCCUCGGUACCUGCCUUCGCUUUGUUUUACACACUGUCACGUUGGUUGCCUAGGUCAUGGCAGAUGCUUUGCCUCCCUAUCGUGUUGUUGCAAAUGGUCAUCAUUCUGGGCGAAUGCUUUGUCACCUCUUUGUGUUGGUCGGGUGGACAUUUGUGCCACCACUGAUUGCUCCAUGCGGAUGCUUUGCUGCUGUUCUUCUACUCUAGUGGAUGCUUUGCUGCAAUGGUUGUGUUGUUCAGUGGAUGCUUCGCUACCGUUUUGUGUUUAUUGCUUUGAGCGGAUGCUUUGCCGCCGUGCUUCUACUCUGGCAGAUGCUUUGCCACCAUGGUUGUACUAUUUGGUGGAUGCUUCACCACCGUUUUGUGCUUCGAGAUUCCUCUCUCUUUCUCGGCUCCAAGGCGACGGUGUAUUCCUUUUGCAGGUUCAGUUCUUAAGGUGGCCUUGUUAGGGUGGCAGGGUUGGGUGUGUCCUGUCCCUUCGUGCUUCUCUUACUGUCUGUUUGUUGUGGUUACCACUUCGGUCGCUUGUCGGCUGUGAGUUUUUUUUGUACUUUUCUUCAGUGUUGAUCUGUUUUUAGUCCUUUGUGCUCUUGUGUUGGUCAAGCUUUGUUUGGCUACAUUAAGUAUUGUAUUUGUAAACUGCUUUCUUCUUAAUGAAAUACGUGCUAACACUACUAGAGAACUCACCUUCCAUCCAACCCUUUUUGUCCCAGUUGACUUUGAACCCGGGACUAAAGGCACACUUUAGUCCCCGGUCAAAAAUGAGCCACUGAAAGCCACGGAUGGGGGAGUUUUAGUCCCGAUUGUAAAGACCAACCGGGACUAAACCCCCUCGUCCCGAUUGUAACGGCUAAAAAAUUUGGCACCGAUGGUGGGAGCUCUUGUCCCGGUUGGAAAUUCCAACCGGGACAAAAGCCCCUCCUAUCCCAGUUGGUAAUUCCAACCGGGACAAAAGAUUUAGUCUCGGUUGGAAAUUCCAACCGGGACAAAAGGGGAGUCCCGGUUGGAAAUUCCAAUCGGGACAAAAGCUCCUCGCCUAUAAAUUCCCCUUGCUUCCUCCUCCCCGAGCCCGAGCCACUCCACCAGACCGAGGGCUUCUUCCUCCUCUCCAUGGCAAUCAAGCAACCUUAGAGAGGUGCUGCCCGAUCUUUUUCCUUAUUUCUGUGGGGAUUUCACUCAUCCAAAGUAUUGUAAAUGUUAGCUACUUCAUCCUCCCUUCAUUUCUUAUUAUUAUACUUUGUUUUAUGCUUUAGAGAUAGAGAAAAAUGAGUUUUUUAGAAUGAGGGAGAAUUGAGAGGAUGUUUAUUUAUAAAUAUUUUUGAGCUAGAAUUCGAUGGAUAGCUUGCUUGUUAUAUAUGAUUCGUAUUAGGUAAAGAACUUUAUCAAUAUUAGGUAUGGGAAAAAAAUAGAGUAAAUGUGUUUUUAAUAUUAAGUCAUUGUAAUAAAAUAAGGUAAAUAAAUUGUAGGUGUAAGAAAUAGAAUUUGGUCAUUGCUAUAGUUUUUCAUGUUACUGUAAUUUAACAAUAAUUGUAUUUCUUUGAGUAGUAAUUUAUUUAUCUCAUAUUUAUUGCAAGGACUAAAUAUUAUAAAUACAUUUACUCUAUUUUCUCCCCUACCUAAUAUUGAUCAAGUUCUUUAUCUAAUACGAAGCCCUAUGUUCAUUUUUAACGUAAUACAAUGCAGAUGGAUCGGCAAUAGAUGUACCACCUCCGCUCCUCCAACCCUAGAGAAUAGUGUCUGCACAUGGCAUGAAUGUGCUUACACUAUUCUCUAGUAUUGGAGGCGCGGAGGUGGCUCUUUAUUUUACUUUGUAUGAUUAGUUUGUAAAUAUAUUGUAGGUGUAAAAAAUAGAAUUUGAUCAUUACUACAAUUUUUUGGAAAGUUUGCAUGUUAAAUUAGAAUGACAUGAAAAUUACACCGGUCAACUUAAUGCUACAAUUGUGGAACAGGACAAUAAAGAUAUACUAAUAAAGACUACAGACGCUCCAUAGUGGACUUCACGGAGUGAGGAAUCCAAAAAUAAUGGUAGAACAGAAAAACUUCGAAGAAACUCGGGCUGAAUAUCAUAAACAAAUUCUGAAAUAGUAUUCCAAACGGCUUUUGGAACCUAAUUCUCAUAAUAGAGUGUACUGGCCCAAUAUCCGCUUUAGGCAGAGAUCUGUUCACUGACCUUGACCUAGCGGCUUUUGGUUGAUUUUGGCUUGCCACCAUGGGCCAUGCUCAAUGAACAGAUCUUUUGCCUGGACGGGCUAUUAUGUGUGUGCCACCAUAGUUCUAUUGUGAUCAUGUGACACUUGUUCCAAAAGACGUUUGGACAAUUAUUUCAAAAAUUCUUUACAAUAUUCAGCCUGAGGAAAUGAAGGCGGGGGACCUUUAGUCCCAGUUGUAAAUUCUAACUGGGACUAAAGGGUGCUUUUUUCACCUCCCACGUGAGAAGCACCCCGGUUAGAAAUUGCAACCGGAACUAAAGGGGGCCUUUAGUCAUGGGUUGAAUUUGCAACUGGGACUAAAGGCCCUUUAGUCCUAGUUGCAAAGUCAACAUGGGACUAGGGGGUUUAAAACAUCCGCCCCCUUCUCCCCUACCUCGUCCCCCUCACUUCACUGCUGGAUCCCCCGCCCCGGCCCGUGUCUUCUCUGCUCGUCUCCCUCCGUCGUUCGCCCGCUGUCUCCCUCGGCCGCCAUUCGCGCCCCAUCCGCCAUCGAUCUGUGCCUGCCCCAUCCGCCGUCCGCCCGUGCCCCAGUCAUACAAAGAUAAUGGAGGAAAGGCUUCACAUCACCGAAGUAACCGAAGAGGGCAAGCCAAUUGCUCCUGAAAAUGUGGUUAGAAAGUUUGUGAGCUAAUGCAGGGCUAUUGUAUGGGAUAACGUGCCCAUCAGCCUUAGGGAAUGGAAGGGUAAACAAAAUGAUCCAUAUGUGCUCCCGCAGACACAAAAAAAAUAUGUUGUGGGCAGAUGUCAAGAAACACUUCACACUUCCUGAAGGUGUCGACGAAAAAGUUGUGAAAGAGUGGACGCUGAAUAAGUUGGCAACCCAAUUCCAAACCUUCAAGAAGAAUCUGGAUGCCAACAUUAUCAAGAAGGGCCGAACUCCAAAUUUCGAUGAGUGGCCAAAGUUAAAGGACCACUGGAACUCAUUUCUGGAAUACAAGAUGAGUGAAACUAGUGCGAACAAGGUUCGUGUCCACUCAACCAAUGCCCAGAAGAAGGAGUAUCAUCACCGUUUAGGGCGAGGUGGUUACAUGAGUGCAAUUUCGAAAUGGAAAGAGAUUGAACAAGACCUAUUCGAUCGAGGUAUCGUACCAGCGACUAUUGACUGGCUCGAUCGAUCGAAGAAUUAGUAUUACGCUCACGGAGGCAACCUGAGCCAAGAGGAUGGGAUACUUAUGUUCAAGGCCGAAAGGCUUAUCCAAAAUAUUGAAGAUGCUAAAGCAGGAAAGAUGAAGGUUGAUAGAGAUAACGAUGAGCUCACUUUUGCGCUCAGGAAUCCCGAACACCAUGGACGUUGCUGAGGCUUCGGGGUCGUUUCGUGGAAGUUUGCUUUCCGUAGGGACAUCGACAUGUACAGAAGCCGCAAGAGAAGAAAGGAACGGCAAGAGGAGAGCUAGCGGUGCAUGUUAGAAGCUAAAGUGCAUUCACAAGAAGUAAGAAUGCAGAAAGAAAUUAAUCAGUGAGUGGUCCUGGUAGUUACUAAGAUGGCUCAAUCUGGAGUCGGAUCCCAACGUUGUCAUCCCUUCUCAACGCUAAAGCACCUGUGCUUCCACAAGGGUACCCUGUGGAUGACAUCACUCAGCACAGCUCAAAUCAUUUGAGCUGUAUAGACCAUUUGGUAACAUCACUAUUAAGGUAUACAUACAUAUAGUUUAUGCAAUCUUCUCAAUUGAUCCAUGCCUGGGGAGUUUAAUAACUUCUUUAUUUCUCCUAUAUGUACAGGUGGCGUACAGAAGUGCUUUACCAAUCCUGCCAGGACAGACAAGCCAUGGUAUGGAGAUUCCACCGGGCUACUCUAGCAUUGGCCUAGAGCAGAUUUGUGAUAGUCAAUAUGAAGGCCUAGAGCUCGACCUCCCGGGAGGUGACAGGGAAAGGACACUAGGAGAUGCAUCAUUCUAUGGUGCGAACGUUACAUCAUCAUCCCUUGUAAGAAGGCAUCAUUGCUCCCCAUAGAUCCCCCGCAGCGACCAUCUCCUCGGAACUCAAGACCAUCUUCUCUAGCACAUCCACCUCUAGGACCGUCGUCACCACCGGAACCGUCGCAUCCUGCUCGAUCACCGUCUCCAUCUCCAUCGAAUCCUAGUGGUGUGAGCGACGACGACCAAAACACCCCUCCCUAAUCACCGUCGCUAGGACUAAACUCUGGUGUGAGCAAGGAACUUGCAGUACCUCUGAAGAAGCUGCGACCGCUGCCUUCCAAGCCAAGGCAACCAAAGGCGAAAGAACCUGUUAAGAAAACAAAGAAGCCUGAACCUAUUCAAAAGCUACCAGUUGAUAUGACUACUGAGGAAUUGUGGGAGGCAUCGCAAGCAACAGUGGAGGGUGGCAUCUCAUCAAGGUUGGAGCAUUUGACAAGCAAGAGCUCUUUUAGAUUAGGCAUGUUAUGGAAGAAGUCUCCUUGGAAGUUGCUUAUAUUUGAAUAGGAGAGAUCGAAGUAGUAGAGCGAGCUGAGCUUUUUGUUGUUGUUGUUUUCACGGAGAGUAAUUUCUGUAUCUGGGAAGCUGAAUGGACUUCUGAGGUUAUAGCAGCCCCUAAGAGAAAGCAAUUGGAGUUUUUGGAGACAACAGAUUGAAGGAGGAAGUGAUUCUAGAGGAGUAUAGGAAAGAUCUAGAACAUGAAGGCAAGAAAGCUUGGCCAAGAAAUGAUUAGAUUGAAGCUUCGUGAACAAGCUCGACUGCUGGGGGCAAUGCCUUAUAAUUAGUGUUGUUGGGCCGCUAGCUCCCUGCCUUAACCAUUCUCUGCUUACGUGCCAUCCUUGACCGCCCACAUGCGAGAUGCACUGCAUGCGCUGUAGCCAAGGAUGAUUGCCCUCAAAAAGUUCAUCAUAUGUUGUGUGGUUCUCUGCAAUGAGGCCGCUAGGAAGUGUGCAUCAGAAUUUGUGGCUUCAUCAGCUUUAGUUGUAGGAGAAAAUGGAAGUUGCAGCAACAAGGUUUGGGCCUCCAUCUAGAGUCCAUAUGAAUGAAAUCAACUAGGCUUAUGGGCCGUACGCUCUAGAAGACUAGAACUUCCCGAUAAUUAAUGGAUGCUUUGCAGCAAUAAUAAUACAUGCAGGAAGAGCACGCGCUCAAUGAUACUAUACAAAUUAAGCUCUGUUCAGUGUUCCAUGCAAGACAUGAUCAUUGAUUUAGGAACAUUUCGUAAUAAUACUAAAAAGAGAGAAGAUUGAAGGUUAGUACGCCAGACUAAAGGGAGUAAAUUAAAGGCAUACAUCUGGCAGUGCUCUCUCUUUUCUUCUUUUUAUAAAGAAACAAAAGAUGUAAAUAGCAAAGCAACAAUGGUUUCAAUCAAUCUGCAUGCAGUCUACCGUUGCUUUAGUUCCACCUUGUGGUUCUUUCUAAACUAAGCUACCCAGUGACUGGAGUACCCGUUGAUGAAUUGGAUGUGAAGAGCUGAAUUGACUUGAGAUAUCCAAUCCAAAAUGUCAACAUUUCCUAGUUUCCAGAGUCGUGUUCAAACCUACUACUAGAUGAAACAAUGCAGCAAAUUAAACAAACUUUAUUAAUUUCACACAAAGAAAACUCAGUUAUAUCCAAUUCAAUACAUAUAUAAUCAAAUGACGACAGGUUCAACAACACGUACGCAUCAUACGCACAUUACGUGCUUAGCAUUCCGAGAUGGUCAUGCAUGCUGAUCAUGAGUGGGAACAAAACAUGCACUCCCACAAUAUUGUAGCAAACAAACUUAUACUCGCUCCGUCCAAAUUACUAUUUGUUUUGGGUUUUCUAGAUACGUAACUUUUGCUAUGCAUCUAGAUAUAUAUUAUGUUCAGAUACGUAGCAAAAAUUAUGUAUCUACAAAAGCUAAAACGAAUAAUAAUUUAGGAUGGAGGGAGUAUUAAUUAUUACACAAGUUUCACUUGUCACAGGCAAGCAAAGUCACCGCACAAACUGUCAAACUGAUCCGAGCAAAUUAGCACACAACAACACACACUGGCUGAAAUAUAAUAUACAAUCUGGUUGAGCUGCUACUGCUGGAUGGGCCGGCCUGCUGGGUGGGAGGCCGGUCGAUGAAGCAGUAAGACGAAGCUAAACCUUAUUUGGAAAUACCAUAUAACAAGGCAUACAUUGAACCAAUCAAAUUUUGGGAGAAGGCGCAUGCAGCAGGCGAAACUGGAGACGCAGGCUGUGUGCAUGAAUGGGGCGACGGAUGUUGCUGACUUAUUGCUGUGGAAUCGACAAAUCUAAUCAAUAAUGUUUGGAAGCUGAACGUGUGGAUAUAUGACGGCAAAUGGAGAUUGAAAAUCACAUCACGUACCGAUUAACUUGAUCAACUUGUAGGCUUGAGCAUGGUAUGUAUUCCUUCAUCAUCUGAGGUAAGUCCUGAUGACGACACGCUCGCGGAUGGAGGCAGACGCCGGGGGAAGCCUGGCCUCGUAGCUGCCGCGAUGCGAAGGCACGUCGUCCCACCACAGCUUGGUCCACCAGGCCCGCUCCCCACUCACCUUCACGGCCUUGUCUGGUUGCUGGUCGAGGCGCGGGAGGCGGCGCAAGCUCCAGCACCCACGGACGUGGAGCUCCUCCCACGCGGGCGCGGUCAGGAUGGCCUCGUCGACUUGGGGAUGCUCCAGUAGUGGCAGCUCCUGGAGGCGUAUCCUUCGGAGGCGAGGGAGCUGGUAAUAAUUACGAGGAUGAUAAUUGUUGCCGUAGAAAAUUGCCUUGAGGUUGUAGCAGAAGCGGAUGUCCAGUGUCACAAGACUUGGCAGUGCAGAUGGACUUGAUAUUACCUCCAAUCUCGGGCAGUACUCUAGGUGUAGGUGCUUCAGUGUAUCGAAACCAUCGUAGCCACCAGAGUAGAAACGGGUUAGACUUUUCAGAUGGGAGACAAAUGCAUGCCUCAAAGGUCUCACAUAGUCACUAAAGACUUCUUGCAUCUGAUGGCACCGUUGCAGCUUACAUUCCUCCAGCUCACUAUCCAAAUAACCCAGAUCACUGAGACAGGAGAUGUGAGUGUCAUCUGACAUGCUAAUUGACUUUGUGACUUGUAGAAGAUAAUAUAGACCACGGGGAUACCGAUCCACGGCUGAGAUCUCCACGUGACGCUCAGCCUCCCGAAAGGGAGGCACGUCAUCCAUUGACACCAUAAAGACUACUCCAUCUGUCAGAUAGUGAUGGUUUACAUCAGCAUAUGCUGUUAGUGCUACUUGAAGCCUGUCGGUUUUCACCAUGUCCUCUUCAUCAUGUAUCUCCCUAGUUGUGGCCUUGCAUGAUGUAACUCGAACAUAGAAAGAUUUCAAAAGGCUUCCACCUCUUACUAAAUCCCUGGUGCUCGAGUCGAAGCUAUAAAAGAAUCUGGAAUCACUUACGCACACCUGAGCAUCUUGUGGAUUGGAAUGAUUACCAGUUUUGUCUGAGCAUUGAUCCAAGCAAAACACACCUGGGAGUCUCUGCAGCUUAUGCCAAGGAAAUCGUCUGAGGAAUGGAACGCCCAUGAGAAGCAAUCGCCUAAGCUGGGGUAGAUUAGGAAUGUCCUCUGGGAGCUCUCUGAUAGCUGUAGCAGACAAAUCAAGCUCCUCCAAAGCAUCAACCUCCUUAAUGUCAACAUGCUCCAACAUUGUACAUCCACGCAAGGACAACCGCCUCAUAUGAGGUGCACCGAUGAAUGUGAAUGAUCUCAGGGUUGGGUGCCUCUCUAAAGUUACCUCUACUUCUGUCAUUGGCUCACAUCCUUCAAUAUGUAUAUUGAUCAAGCCACAUAAUUUGGAAACCAACCCUGGUACUAACAACAAUUUCUUGUUCUCGGUUAGCUUGAGUGAUUGGAGCUUCUUCAUUUCCUCAAACAUCUCCCUAGGAAAAGAUUUUAUUUGAGUCCUUGUGAGCUCGAGUGUUGUUAGACUAGACAAUGCAACAAUGGAGGGUGGCAUCUCCUCAAGGUUGGAGCAUUUGACAAGCAGGAGCUCUUUUAGAUUAGGCAUGUUACGGAAGAAGUCGCCUUGGAAGUUGCUUAUAUUUGAAUAGGAGAGAUCGAAGUAGUAGAGCGAGCUGAGCUUUUUGUUGUUGUUGUUUUCACGGAGAGUAAUUUCUGUAUCUGGGAAGCUGAAUGGACUUCUGAGGUUAUAGCAGCCCCUAAGAGAAAGCAAUUGGAGUUUUUGGAGACAACAGAUUGAAGGAGGAAGUGAUUCUAGAGGAGUGUAGGAAAGAUCCAGAACAUGAAGGCAAGAAAGCUUGGCCAAGAAAUGAUUAGAUUGAAGCUUCAUGAACAACCUCGACUGCUGGGGGCAAUGCCUUAUAAUGAGUGUUGUUGGGCCGCUGGCUCCCUGCCUUAACCAUUCUCUGCUUACAUGCCAUCCUUGAUCACCCAGAUGUGAGAUCCACCGCAUGCGCUCCAGUCCAGGAUGAUUUCCCUCACAAAAAAAAACUUCUUCUGUUGUGUGGCACUCUGCAACGAGAUUAUAACAAGCUAGGAAGUGUGCAGCAGAUUUUGUGGCUUCAUCAACUUUAGUUGCAGGUGAAAAGAGAAGCUGCAGCAACGAGUACUCUCGAAAAGCUUCAAGGAUGACAUUUCCCACUUGGUAUAUAUUAUUGUAUUUGCCUUGGCAGUCAGCUGCUGUCACCUCCGUUGUUCUUUCUAGCACGCCAGUAAUGAGGCCCUGUAUGGCCCAUUGACGUAUCAGCUGCUCAUCUGAAGUAAUAUCAGCUAGUGCAUCAGAACUCUGCUGAUCUCCAUCUCUAUGGGCAUAUGAACAGUGUGGAAUGAGCAGCAUGAGGAUGUAGUGAAAGCACCGGACGGCCACGUGGUGCCAAUAUUGUUCAUCUUUGUGGCCGGUCACGCCCAAGAUGUACUUAGCUGUCUGAUGCAGUGAGUAGAGAGUAAGCAUCAAUAUGUCAUCCCCACUGAAAGAAUCAACGAUACAAUUAUAAUCCGGCUUGCUCCUGUCAUAGACAUCUUUGGAGGUGCCGGAUACAAUCCAGAAAGAGCCUUCCCACUGAGGAGGAGGAAGGCAUGAUAAGUCUUCGGUGAAAGCACUAAGAUUGAUGGGCUUAAUGGGCUCAUUGAGGUUGUUAAUCACCAGCAGGUACUUCUUCUCCAGCAGCUUUUUCACUAUUUGAUAAACCGUUGAUUUUACAUUUUUUUGCAAGGAGUCCGUUGCAUCCUGGUAGCCAUAGGUAUAGUACCACAGCUCAUCGCCCUCUGCUUUUAGCAUGUCGUAUUCUUGGUUGAGUAGCCCAAGCUGCUCCGCCACUUUGAUGGCCAGCUUGUCAUUAAUACUGAGCCUCGUUCCAAGCACUAACGCCUGCUUCAUGUCCACCUCUAUCACGUGGUCAAAGGGACCUUCCUCCUUGAUCUUGACCUCCCGAAUGAUGCUUGAUAUAGCUCGUGUGAAACAUGCUGCGGGUCCCACCCCAACAUUCCACUGCACGAAUCCAUACCUGUCGAGUUUUUCUUCCAAGUCACGAUAUGCAGGGCUCUUGAGAAAUCCUUUCAACCUGGCAGCACAAAUAAAAAAGGCUCCGUUACGUGCUUUUUGAACAACUUGUGCUCAAUGUUGAGUAAUUUGUUAAUCAUAUUCUCUUUUAUGCCUGCCCAUUUAUUUUAUUUUUAUUCUCACGUUUGACGCUACUGAAAACAGCAAACAUGAAGCUUAAUGCCGAUACUGUACAUCCUUGUCCGUUGACAUAUAAAAUCACUUUUUUAUGCAUGUUUUAUCAACAAACUUAUUUGAUAAUGAUAACAAUAAUAAGUAUAAGAAUUCGGGUGCAUAUCUGAGUGAAAAUGCUGCCAUUAACACCGGGUAUGGGAAAGACAAGCAAAAUAAUUCUUUCUUUUCUUCAAAAUAAUUCUUUCUUUUCUUCACGAUAUAACUGUUAAUUGAAUAAAUAAAGCUUGCCAUGUGGCUUUCUUUAAAAAAACAUAAGUAGAAAUGUGGCCUGCAUAAAUUUUUGUGUUGUUGUUCUGAUGACCAAAAAUAUAUGUUUAAAUAUUCUUUUAGGCAAUAUAAAUCUUUAUGUUUUAGCAAAACAGGAACAAUUAACUGGCACUUAUAACACUUUAUGAAGCCAUUGAACAUAUUAGGUGACCUAGAGAAAUGGAUUAAGAAAACAAAGCAUAUGCAUCCGAGAGAAAAAGGAGGAACAAAAUUAGGAGAUUCGAGAAAGAUGAUCAUGGCGUGGUGGCGGAGGCGGUGGGGCUUAUAACUCUAUUGCUGACUUGUUUGAAUCAAGUGCACGUCAUAUGACUAGCUCCCUCAUCAAGUUCAUCCCAUUGUUUCACCUAAGUUGAUGUAUGAGUUCCUAUUGAGGGUAUAGUGAUGAUGAGAUUAAAAAGCCUUGAAUUGCAUGGGCGGUCUCAAAGCACCAGGGGUUGAUGGUAUGCCAGCUUUAUUUUUUAAAAAAAUAUUGGGAUAUUGUUGGCAAAGAUGUGUGGUGCAGGAGGUGAGGAAGCUACCGUUGGAAGGUGAAAUGCCCAAAUGAUGGAAUGUCAUUUCACUAGAUAUGAUUGCCUAGAACAAAAAUGUGAUUUUGUGCCCGGCCAUCUAAUCACGUAUAAUGUGCUCUUAUAGAUGAACCCACUUCAUGCAGACAAAAAUGUCGUCGUUGUUGGCACCAAUAGAACACGGGCUAUGAUUUUUCCUGGCAAUUUCCCGACCCACCGGUGUAGCGUAGCCACCGAGAAGGGAGCUGCAGAGCCAUGCCUCGUACACGGUCCGUGCUGGGGAGUAUGGCUUGCACUACUAGAGAACUGACUUUAGAUACCACCCCAUUUAGUCUCAGUUUAAUUUCGACCCGGGAGAAAAGGGGGUGCGCUACAAUUUAUUCCUGGUUGGUAUUUGCAAUCGGGACUAAAGGGGACCUUUUAGUCCCGGUUCAAAAAUCAGGCACCUGUGAGGAUCCUUUAGUCCCGGUUGAAAAAUUCAGGCACACGUGGGGGACCCUUUAGUCCAGGUUGGUAAGAUCAAUCGGGACUAAAAGGUGACCCUUACCACCCGGGACUAAAGCAACCGGGAUAAAAGGUGGCUAAAAAAAGAAUAAAGCCCUCGGACCCUUUUUAUGCCGGUUGGUGUUUCCAACCGGGAUAAAAGGGUCCCCCACGUGUGGCUGGGAAAGGACUAAAUCCCUCGAACCUUUUUAUCCCGGUUGGUAUUACCAACCGAGAUUAAAUGAGGUCUUUAAUCCCGGUUGGUGUUACCAACCCGGAUUAAAGGGUCCUCCAUGAGUUAAUAUAAAAGGAUAGUAUCCCCUAUAUAGACAGAUGUGGUGUGUAGGUGGGAUGGCAAGGAAGCUAUGCGCAAGUCUUGAGGUCAUGGGUUUGAAGCCCACGGACCACGCACGCACAUAUUUCGCGUGAAAAAUCGUGUGACUUGAUAAAAGCAACGUUGUGCGUGUGGGGGGCCUCUAGGACCCCCCGAUAUUUUUUAUUUUUGCAAUUUUUUUUUGCAAAACCGCGUGGCAACCGUUUUAUCCCGGUUGGUAUUACCAAUCGGGACUAAAAGGGGAUCUUAUAUCCCGAUUUUGGGACCCGUGAUAAAAGACACCCCCCUUUUAUCUUGACGGAUUAAUCCCGGAUGUAUGUUCGGGAGAUAUGCACCCUGCGAACCGGUACUAAUACCAAGUUUUCUAGUAGGGUUGAGAGAGUGGUGAGCAUUCAUAAUGCGAACCCAUUGCGCCGGCGGGCAAGAUAUGGGGCCCUACUGUUGCUGACCGAGAAGACAUCGGAUCUGGUAGUAGGUGAACUAGAUCCGGCUCGGGAGGCCGCACUCCCGCCGCUAGCACCGGUUGCUAUGGCUGCCGAUGGGUAUCACCAAGCCAGGAUGGGGGAGGUAGGGAGAGGACGGGUGGAUGCUAGAUCUAGCUGGAUAGGGGUGGAUCUAGCCUCUGCAGAGCCAACUGCAACCCAUUGGAGCUUGCCUAGCCAUGGUGGCUUUUGGUGCAAAAAGAGAAGGCCACGUGGGGGGAGGAGACCCGCUGGUGGAGGCCCGCUGCCGCCAUCCUCACACCUGCAUGGGCUUCCGGCGUGGCGCUCUGGUGGCAGCAAGGUGGAGGGAGGGGGAGGGUAUAUAGUGGUGGUGGUGGCGGCCCGCUAGAGGCACCCUAGGUGGAGAGGGUGACACGAGCAGCCUUCCAACGAUCUACAAUGGGUUGUCUAUUAAAUUGUUUCUCAAUAUUCUACACUAAUUAAUGAUUACACAAAAAGACACAUACAAUGGUUAUUGUGUUGUCUAUAAAACAUCUAAAUUGUGUUGGCCAUCAUAUCUUGUGCCAAACCCAUCUCUUUGUGAAGAUACAGCUUUGCUCGCUCUCAUUUACUCUAUGCCACAUGAGGUAGAAAUGCUUGCAUGGCUCAUGUAACUGAUCUUACAAAGUUUUGGGUAAAGUUUUAUGAGUAAGAGUAAACUCUAGUUCCCGUGUCCUAGCAUAUAUAUACUCCUUCACCAACAUCGAGGAGGUUCUUCAUUAGCAUUCCGAACAGGAGUUUCUUGAAUUCCUCUUCUUCCCCUCAUUUGUUUAGUAAUCCAUUUCUUGAGAGAAUGAGAGCAUUCUACCAUCAAACAAGUGUCGCUGCCUUGUUACUUGAGGUUGCUACAUCCUAGAAGAUUCUUAGAAGACAAAACUCUUGAGGUUGUAAACUAUGCAAAACCUGGUUGUUCUUGUGAAGGGUGUUAUAUGCUCGUCUUAGCAAGAGAGAUGAAGAGCAUCUCUAGUAAAAUCUAGGCUUGGACAUUCUGAUCUGAGGUGGUUCAGCAUUAAGAGGUGUGUUGACACAAGCGGCUGCAACUUAUAGUCCACCUUAUCGUGGAUCAAGUGUGAAUGACAAUUCAUUAGUACUAUGGAAUAAAAUUAUUGUCUUGUGAUUGUUUAUCUCCUGGACUCAACUUAUAUACGUGCAAGCUACUUUGAGCAAAUUUAUAUUCCUAAGUACCGGAUUGCUCUUAUUACCUAGGUGGCUAUGUCGCAAAACUUGACAUAGGAUAUGUUGUGUCGUGAGUUAUUUAUUUUCCACUAACCAUAGUUGCUAGUUUUGCAAAAUUAGUUGAAACCCUCUACCUAGUAUCCUUUGAUCCUAAAGUAGCAUGCAGCCAUAUCAUUUACCCUCUUUUGGCAGAUGUAGAUAGAAAGCCGUUGGCUGUGAACUAUGAUGUUUUUUUCCAUGUUUAAACUAACAUUUUUUCGGACAGUGGUUGCUUAUUCUUGAGAUUUGAAAGGUGAUUGUGCUCGUCCGUAAGUGUGCUCUUGCUUAGGGAGCUAGAUGCAUGUAUAUGAGGUGAAAGGACCGUGCCCCUUGGUUUUGUGCUUUCAUGACUGUUAGUUUAAUUUCCUGUUGCCUUGAAGGAGGAAAAAAUAGAGAAGAAAGAAUUAAAAUGCAAGCUACAUUGUACGGGAGAGAGAGGAAGAGGAUAAGAAAGCAGAAAGGUCAAUGCCAUGUCGCAUCUAUGAAAUAUGACAUGAUGACAACUUGCUCAAAAAUGACAUGAGUGGAUUAUUUAGAUGGCAUUCAAUACUCCAAGGGAUGAAUGCAUGGUUUGUGUGCUAGAGUUGGUUAAGUAGAUGAAUAUCAAUACAAAAAGGACUAUCACAUAAUGUUCAUACUCCUUAUCAUAAGACUAUGUCUAAGUUCCUAUGAUACUUGAGGUCAUCACAAAUUUGUGAAAACUCUAUUACAUAUGGUUCACAACUGUGGUAUGCUGCUAUUAAUUGUUUGUGUAAGUUCCUGUGAUAUUGAUGUCACCACACAUUGUGAAAAACUAAAAAACUCUAUCACAAAUGGUUCACAACUAUGAUAUGCUUCUACCUCUAGUUCUUAGCUUAAUGAAUAGUAACUAUUGCCAUGAAAAGUUCUGAGUUAUGAGAUUUGUGUUUGUUAAACAGAUGAGAAAGUCAUGUCCUUUCGGGGGAGAGGGAGAGGGGUAUGUAACUGUCUUGUUUGAGUUGGCUGUACAAAUUAAAAGUAAAAUAACAAAACCUAUACAUAUUAGAUUUUAAAAGUAACAUACCAGAAGUUGAUGUCUUGCAGAUAAUGACGCCAUUCAUUCAAUGGCAUUUUAAAAGAAAAUGGUUCCGCCAUGACUAACGUCAGUAGUUGACUCAAAUUGUCAAAUUGUGGAACCUGCCAGUGGUAGAAGUAAUUUGAACUAGUUAUUAACACAGAAUUACAAAGUUGUUUGGACUAAACAUGAAUAAAUAGUUAAAUAAUUAAACAAUUACUGUUGUGGUCAUUGUUUUAUUUACCUACCUAUGCACAGGUCAAUAUAAUAGCUAGGUAGUUCAUUUGGAUAAAUUUAUUUGUAGCUAGAAAUUGUAAAAUAGAAAUCAGGGCACUGAGUUAGAAUAUUCAAAAAAUGAACUUAUUUCACAUUUGAGCAUUCAGAAGCUAACAUAUAUACAUGAUUAGAUCUAGAUUGCAUACCUACUUAUACAAAAACUAAUCACAUUUACCUUUAUAAGUAUAUUAUGAGUAAGGUUCUACAAAAUUUUUACUGGAGCACACAAAAUAGAUGUCAAUUGAGCGUCUUGUAAAAUACUUUUUUUAACACCUACUGUAACCACGUAUAGGAGGAAGAUUCUCCUGGUUUCAAAAUUAGUAGUCCUGACCUGACCAAAAACAUCGUGUCCUUCAUGAGGCUAGAUGGGGACAAGCUCCUAGAUUCACAUAGUAUUGCAGGGUCGAACCAAUUCAUGGAUUGACAAAAUAUGCAAGUUGCAAGGUACUCGUGCUUCUAGAUAAAGUUGACUUGAUCUAAAUCUUAAAUAAAGUUUACCUCUAAGAUGAAUAAAUUUCUACUUUCAUGCGUAAUCAUAACAAAAUCAUUUAAAAUUUAAUGUAUCGGUUUAAUUGAAUUUAAUGUUAAUCACUCCUAUAGUUAGUGUUUAUUUACCUCUGAUUUAACUUUGGCUGGUUGUCUAUAGUGAAUUUUCCCGGCGGAAUAACUUAGCGUGAUAUAACAUCAUACAGUUCCUUCGCCAAGAAAGCAAAAUUUUAACCUGAAGGUUGGCAAUACAUAUUGUCUCUCCAAGUAUGCUCCAGAAGAAAACACUUGUUUAUAUAAUAGUCCUGAGAAAUAAUGAGCAGUUCACAGCCAUUAUAUUAAUCAGAGCUUUUUAGUGCUAGCAAAUCAUGAAACAAGAAUGAUGCGUAUUAGUACCUGGUGCCAAAGUUUGUUGAUACUGCGUGGAUGACAGGAUAUGACUUUAACUUUCUGGGUUUCAGUUUGAACGGGGUUGGAUCAUAUCAAUAUUUUUGGUGUGUCAAUUUGUCACUAGAAGAAGAAAGUAAUUGCUAGAACGAAGGAAUAAAUAAAUUAUGUUUUGUUAGAACCAAUAAAUGAAAGAAAGGCAUUAGCUGUAGUGUAGAAGAACAAUGGAAAGGGAAUUUUUUCACUUUUUUUUAUUUAUCACGAAGGAAAAAGGGCACGAAACAAGAGCAUGUAAAAUAAAAAGGAUAAAACGACAUAAAAAUGCAGACUAACUGUACAGGAAUCAGCAUAUGUUUCUGUGAUUUUUAACUAAAGUUGAUGAACAAAAGCCAUAAUUCUAGGUAUGAAAGAACAAGAGUGAUAGGCAAACAAUCAGAUGUUUUUCUUGGGGUGGUGAUGGGGUGUUUGUGGAGGAUGGAUGGAGCUUUUUGUACUGUACUAGUUACUUCGUUGGGAACCUGAGAGAACCAGAACUGGCUGGUGGAGCAAAUGAGCAAAACGAAUAGCUGGGAAGGGAGUUGGCCAUUGUCCAUUGCUGUGCUCUCUUAUAGACAGGAAGCGAGGAACAGAGGGGCAAUAUUCUCUGGUUACGACAGCACGCAAAGUAUGCAUCUCUCAGCAAAGCUAAAGACUAAAGUUGAGAAUGCCUAAGGAAUGGAUCAUACCAUGUCCAGAGAAGAAAAUGUAACAUGCAGGCUUAAAGAAUAAAGGGCAUCCCAGGAUGGAGUAACAACCAUGACAAGGCACCAUGGCACGCCUUAAUAAAGCACGCGAGCGGAGCAAAGGAAUAGUAGUAUUGCUUUGCUUAUAUCACAGUUGACAAUUUACCUCAACAACUGAACAUGACUACUCGUUCCGAUCCCGUCCGUUGGAUCCUCGCCUCGUCUGCUCUCUCGCCUCUCUCUCUCUCUCUCUCUCUCUCUCUCUCUCUCUCUCUCUCUCUCUCUCUCUCUCUCUCUCUCUCUCUCUCUCUCUCUCUCUCCCUCCCGUCAUCCAUGGCCAUGGAGAUCGAUCCCAUAAUCCCAUUCUCAUGCAGUCGCACUCGGAUGGCAGACACGAUCCCUACGGCCUACGUGUACGGCGAAUGGCGGCGAACGUGAUUUGAAACAGGCGGUGUCAUCUGAAUCUGCACGAAUCCAAUCCCUAAACGAGAAGAUGGAAACACAAGAGGAUUCAUAUCGACCUGACCGUUGACUCGUGGUGCCUAGUUAGCGAAACAGGACACAAUGCAAGCUACUAUGGCAAGCAAAUGAGCAAAACUAAGGAACCAGACAGCACUAUUGUUCUGAGCCGUCUCAACAUCAUCUGUCCAAUCCGAAAUGUAAACAUUUCCUAGUGUCCAGACUCCAGAACCAUUACUAGCAAUUAGUAGUUUAAAUUUUUAGUUGACACUCGAUCCGCACGCUGCCGGUACUUUGAAGCAUAAUUUACUUGAUUGCAGAUUAGCAGCCGAUCAAUCCACGAAGCAAACGUCCACUAGCUAGUACUAGAUCAAGCAUUGCAGGAAAUUAAACAAACUUUAUUAAUUUCAAACAAAGCAGACUCUGUUAUAGUACACCAAUUCAAUACUUCAAAUAGAACAUACAUAAUCAAACAAGAGCAAGUUCAACAACACGUAGCAGCAAACAUACAUUACAUAGAUUAUAUAAUAAUAAUUUUGGCAUGCCGAGAUGGUCAUGCUGACAGACAAUCCGAUACUAUUGUAGCAAACAGAUUUAUAUUAUUACACCAGGCCAGUUUCACGCCGGCAAUCAAAGUCAAUGCAAAAACUGAUCGAAACAAGCACACAAGACACCCUUUUUUCUGGGAACUUAGCUUCUUCAUUAAUUAAGCAGCAUCAUUACAAUCAUUAAGCAGGCAUAGCUGCAAGAAGCUAGGGAAUUUUGGUUGGUCAUCAACCUCCAUCCCUGUUUGCCCAGCAUUGCGAUGUUGAAGAGUUUGAUGUCCCUGAAGCCCAUGCCUCCAUAGCACUUGGGUAAAGUGAGCUCCGACCAGCGCCUCCAGUGUAUUCCCCGGCGAUCAACCUUGCUGCUCCACCAGUAGUUGGAGAUAGCCGAAGUUGUAGCACUGUAAGGGUGCACGGGAACCUGAGUAAAUUUCUGCUGCACGCGUUGUCUCGCUUCGAGGCGGCACGGGGGCGCCUCCCACCUGCCGCCGCCAGCCCCGUCCAGCAGCCCAGCCGGCCGCCAUCCUGUCGGCCGGCGGCAGCAGCGGCCACACCCUGUUGGUGUUUUAUACCGGCAACCUAAUGAAGAGUAUUCUGAGGUAGUAAAUUGGUUGGUGGGGGAUCGUCGGAUCUGGAACUCGAAGGUAAAAGUGAGGAUAGAAGACACAAAUUUAUACAGGUUCGAACCGCUAGAGUAAUGUAAUAUCAUACAUCCUGUUUGGGGUGUUGUAUAUUGUGCCUUGCGCUUGGGUGUUGUUUGGUGUUUAGGAUUUGGUCCUCUGUUGUGGUUCUAUGACAUCUUUGUCUACUGAUCUAGGGACCCCUGCCCUCCUUUAUAUACUCCAAGGGGUGGGAUUAAUAGUCGGUUAUAAGGAGGAGUCCUAGUAGGAUUACAUGGUAUGACUUCUGAUAGGAUUACAGAGGAAUCCUAGUAGGAGUCCGUCUUCUUACUUCCUUGCGGGUACUGGGGAUCUAUCCCCAACACGCUCCUUCCCUCCCCUCCCAUUUUCCUCUCUCCUCUAACCUUCUCCCUCUCCCCUGUCUCCCAUCAAGUGCUGCUAGUUGUUGCCGCUGGCUUGCUGGCUGCUGCCGCCCAUGGAGGUCAACAUUGCAGAUCUGGGUGGCGGCGCGCUGGAUUCGAACCGCAGCCCACCAGAUUUGGGUGGUAGGGUCCAUCUGCGGCUGCCUGGUGCCGGCGAUGUUUAGGGCUCUGCGGCGGUCUGGGAGCGGGGUGCUGGGGUCGACCAGUGGAGCUUUCUCUCUCGGCAUGCCUGUGCCUCCAGCAGGUUGAGAGAUCUCCGUCGUGCACUGGCUGGCGUGCGCUCCUGCCAUUCGGAAUCUCCAGCCGCUGGGCCCGUGGCCGCUGCAGUCUAGGAUCGCCCAUGGUUCGCUGCAGACUGGAGGUGGGGACCUCUCCCCUUCGCCUCUCCGAUCCCCCGGCCUGCCGGAGCUAGCUGUUGGGGGUGUUGCGGUGUGUCCGGGUGCCACUACCAUUAGGUGGCAUGUGUGGUGGGCUAUCUUCAUCUCAUUCCAAGAUCUUCAGGCGUAAGCCCUACUCGGUGCUGUGCUGAGCCAACAACAACGGUGGUUGCGGGCGUCGUUCCCCUCCUCAGAGGCGUUGUUGAAAAGUCUCGGGAGACAUAGACCUUCCGCCCCGCUGCCGCUUUGCCGUUGAUGUGUUCCACCUGUGCUUUCACUGCUUUGGCCGCUGUCCUUUGUUUGGUUGCUGCCACCAUUGGUGGUUCCAUCCCGUCGGCGCUGCUUGUGGAUGGUUGCUUCGCUGGGGGUGUCGCGGCACACUUUGGGGGAUAGGGGUGAGGCGUAAGCCUCUGCCUGCUUGCGGGCUAGUGAUGGCGAUGUCCUCGGGCACCGUUUCCCUCCUUGGAGGCAUCAUUCAUUUGCCCCUUGCCCCUUCGAGACCCCAAGUCUGGACGGUGUGGUUCUUCCUCAGUACCUGCCUUCGCUUUGUUUUACACACUGUCACAUUGGUUGCCUAGGUCAUGGCAGAUGCUUUGCCACCCUAUCGUGUUGUUGCAAAUGGUCAUCGUUCUGGGCGAAUGCUUUGUUGCCUCUUUGUGUUGGUCAGGUGGACAUUUGUGCCACCACUGAUUGCUCCAUGCGGAUGCUUUGCUGCUGUUCUUCUACUCUAGCGGAUGCUUUGCCGCAAUGGUCGUGCUGUUCGGUGGAUGCUUCGCCACCGUUUUGUGUUGAUUGCUUCGGGCGGAUGCUUUGCCGCCGUUCUUCUACUUUGGCGGAUGCUUUGCCGCCAUGGUUGUACUAUUUGGUGGAUGCUUCACCACCGUUUUGUGCUUCGAGAUUGCUCUCUCUUUCUCGGCUCCAAGGCGAUGGUGUAUUCCUUUUGCAGGUUCAGUUCUUAAGGUGGCCUUGUUAGGGUGGCAGGGUUGGGUGUGUCCUCUCCCUUCGUGCUUCUCUUCCUGUCUGUUUGUUGUGGUUACCACUUCGGUCGCUUGUCGGCUGUGAGUUUGUUUGUACUUUUCUUCAGUGUUUAUCUAUUUUUAGUCCUUUGUGCUCUUGUGUUGGUCAAGCUCUGUUUGGCUACAUUAAGUAUUGUAUCUAUAAACUGCUUUCUUCUUAAUGAAAUACGUGCUAACACUACUAGAGAACUCAACUUCCAUCCAACCCUUUUUGUCCUAGUUGACUUUGGACCCGGGACUAAAGGCAUACUUUAGUCCCAGGUCAAAAAUAAGCCACUGAAGGCCACGGAUGGGGGGAGUUUUAGUUCUGGUUGUAAAGAUCAACCGGGACUAAACCCCCCUAGUCUCGGUUGUAACGGCUAAAAAAUUUGGCAUCGAUGGUGGGAGCUUUUGCUCUUAUCCCAGUUGGUAAUUCCAACCAGGACAAAAGAUUUAGUCUCGGUUAGAAAUUCCAAUCGGGACAAAAGGCGAGUCUCGGUUGGAAAUUCUAACCGGGACAAAAGCUCCUCGCCUAUAAAUUCCCCUUGCUUCUUCCUCCCCGAGCCCGAGCCACUCCACCAGACCGAGGGCUUCUUCCUCCUCCUCUCCAUGGCAAUCAAGCAACCUUAGAGAGGUGCUGCCCGAUUUUUUCCUCAUUUCUGUGGGGAUUUCACUUAUCCAAAGUGUUGUAAAUAUUAGCUACUUCAUCCUCCCUUCAUUUCUUAUUAUUAUGCUUUGUUUUAUGCUUUAGAGAUAGAGAAAAAUGAGUUUUUUAGAAUGAGGGAGAAUUGAGAGGAUUUUUAUUUAUAAAUAUUUUUGAGCUAGAAUUUGAUGGAUAGCUUGCUUGUUAUAUAUGAUUCGUAUUAGGUAAAGAACUUUAUCAAUAUUAGGUAUGGGAAAAAAAUAGAGUAAAUGUGUUUUUAAUAUUAAGUCAUUGCAAUAAAAUAAGGUAAAUAAAUUGUAGGUGUAAGAAAUAGAAUUUGGUCAUUGCUAUAGUUUUUCAUGUUACUGUAAUUUAACAAUAAUUGUAUUUCUUUGACUAGUAAUUUAUUUAUCUCAUAUUUAUUGCAAGAACUAAAUAUUAUAAAUACAUUUACUCUAUUUUCUCCCCUACCUAAUAUUGAUCAAGUUCUUUAUCUAAUACGAAGUCCUAUGUUCAUUUUUAACGUAAUACGAUGCAGAUGGAUCGGCAGUAGAUGUACCACCUCCGCUCCUCCAACCCUAGAGAAUAGUGUCUGCACAUAGCAUGAAUGUGCUUACACUAUUCUCUGGUAUUGGAGGAGCGGAGGUGGCUCUUUAUUUUACUUUGUAUGAUUAGUUUGUAAAUAUAUUGUAGGUGUAAAAAAUAGAAUUUGGUCAUUACUACAAUUUUUUGGAAAGUUUGCAUGUUAAAUUAGAGUGAUAUGAAAAUUACACCGGUCAACAUAAUGCUACAAUUGUAGAACAGGACAACAAAGAUACACUAAUAAAGACUACAGACGCUCCAUAGUGGACUUCACGGAGUCAAGAAUCCAAAAAUAAUGGUAGAACAGAAGAAUUUCGAAGAAACUCGGGCUGAAUAUCAUAAAAGAAUCUUGAAAUAGUAUUCCAAACGGCUUUUGAAACCUAAUUCUCAUAAUAGAGUGUACUGGCCCAAUAUCCGCUUUAGGCAGAGAUAUGACCUUGACCUAGCGGCUUUUGGUUGGUUUUGGCUUGCCACCAUGGGCCAUGCUCAAUGAACAGAUCUUUUGCCUGGACGUACUAUUAUGUGUGUGCCACCAUAGUUCUAUUAUGAUAAUGUGACACUUGCUCCAAAAGAUGUUUGGACAAUUAUUUCAAGAUUCCUUUACGAUAUUCAGCCUGAGUAUGUGGAUUCGAAGAUCUUCUGUUAUACCAUUAUUUUCUGGUACUAGAGGAGCGGAGGUGACUCUCCAUAGACUUCGUAGAAGAUUGAGUCAUGUGCAGAGGUGGUUUGGAGGGCGAAUAUUCUGCUAUGUUGUACCAUUAUUAUAGGAUAAUUGACUACAUGAAAUCCACUAUGUAGCAUCUAUAAUCUUUAGUGUAUAUGUAUCUUUAUUGUCUUGUUUCAGAAUUCUAGCAUUUGUCUUUUUGUCGACGUAGUGAAUGUUAUGAAUGUUGAUUGGUGUAAUUUUCAUGUAAAUCGUUUUUAUCUUUAUGACGGUUGAUUGGUCUAAAUUAUCAAUAUUGAUCAGGUUCUUUAUCUAAUACGAAGACCUAUGUCCAUUUCUCACGUAAUAUGAUGCAGAUGGAUCGGCAAUGAAUAUAUAACGCGGAUAGAUGGAUCAAAGAGUUUGUUGAUGGCUUGCAUUAUUUUCUCGAAGUGACCAAAGUCAACAAGCUAGAGAAGGGAUUCAUAUAUUGCCCAUGCCUCGAAUACAGUAACAAGAAGGACUACUCUUCCUGAGGGACUGUUCACAGCCACUUGUUUAGAUUUGGUUUCGUGCCUAACUAUUUGGUUUGGACCAAGCACGGCGAAAGAGAGGUUAUAAUGGAAGACGGUGAAGAUGAGGAGGAUGAUAACAACAUUACGGACUGGACAGCAGGCUAAGCUUUUGUAGAUACUACAAUGGGCGAGGCUGAUGAAGAAGAGUUUGCAGAAGAUGGCCGUAUUGAUGAUCUUGGUCAGGUGCUAGGGGAUGCAUAGGGAGAUUGCGAAACUGAGAAGGAAUCAGAAAAGUUGCAGCGCAUGAUAGAUGAUCACAAAAAAUUGUUGUACCCAGAUUGCAAGCAGGGGCAUAAAAAACUGGGUACCACACUAGAAAUGCUAUAAUGGAAAGCAAAAAAUGGUGUGAGCGAUAAGGCAUUUUAGGGGAUAUUGAAAAUUGUAAAGAACAUUCUUCCCAAGAAUAAUGAAUUGCCAUCCAUAACAUAUGAAGCUAAACAGGUUAUUUGCCCUAUGGGAUUGGAGGUUCAGAAGAUACACGCAUGCCCUUAUGACUGUAUCCUCUAUCGUGGUGAUGAAUAUGAGAAAUUGGAUGCUUGUCCUAUGUGCGGAGCGCUGCUAUAAGAUCAGGCGAGAUGAUCACAGCCACAUAAUUCUUCCAAAUAAAAGAAAAAUCGUGGGAGUCGAAGACAAAACAGAGCAGUCAAAUGAUUAUGAUCAGUUUGAUGGCAUGCUUCCAUUCGUUGUCGAAGUUGACCCAAGCAUCAUGCUAGCCAAAGAAGAGGUUCCGUACUUACGCCGCAAUUAUGACCAAGGAACUUUCGUUAAGAAGAAGUUUUUUAACGUUACAUUGUAAUGCACUAAAUAUGGUGCACCUUCAUGUAAUGCUUUAUGGCCAUCAGAACCUUUGGAUUAUAUUGUAAUACUCUAUGGUGAACAUUUAUUCGAUCUAUAUAAAUAAUGUUAACUUAACCACAUUUUUUGCACAGUGAAAUUAUUUAAUUGAAGAAUUUGUUGAUCAUAGUGAUGCAUUAAAAUAAUUAUUUUAGAAAUUUAAACAACUAGUAUAGAAUUAAUGACUGAUUCAAACUUAUUUUAAAUAUACUUGCUAAUUUAAUAUAUUUUUGCAUGUUCAAAAUACGUAAAGUUUUUAUUUUUCUUUAACAACAAAACAACUUAAUAUAUAUAUAAAUUAAAAUUGCAAAAGUCAGAGGAAAUGAAAGGGGGACCUUUAGUCUCGGUUGUAAAUUCUAACCGGGACUAAAGGGUGCUUUUUUCACCUCCCACGCGAAAAGCACCCCGGUUGGAAAUUGCAACCGGAACUAAAGGGGGGCCUUUAGUCAUGGGUUGAAUUUGCAACCGGGACUAAAGGCCCUUUAGUCCUGGUUGCAAAGUCAACCUGAGACUAGGGGGUUUAAAACAUCCACCCCUUUCUCCCCUGCCUCGUCCCCCUCACUUCACUGCUGGAUCCCCCACCCCGACCAGUGUCUUCUCCGCUCGUCUCCCUCCGCCGUCCGCCCGCCGUCUUCCCCAGCCGCCGUCCACGCCCCAUCCUCCGUCAAUCCGCGCCCGCCCCAUCCGCCAUCCACCCGUGCCCCGAUCAUACAAAGAUAAUGGAGGGAAGGCUUCACAUCACCGAAGUAACCGAAGAGGGCCAGCCAAUUGCUCCCGAAAAUGUGGUUAGAAAGUUUGUGAGCUAAUGCAGGGCUAUUGUAAGGGAUAACAUGCCCAUCAGCAUUAAGGAAUGGAAGGGUAAACAAAAUGAUCCAUAUGUACUCCCGCAGACACAAAAAAAAUGUGAAACCCUAAAAUAUGUUGUGGGCAGAUGUCAAGAAACACUUCACACUUCCUGAAGGUGUCAACGAAAAAGUUGUGAAAGAGUGGACGCUGAAGAAGUUGGCAACCCAAUUCCAAACCUUCAAGAAGAAUCUGGAUGCCAACAUUAUCAAGAAGGGCCGAACUCCAGAUUUUGAUCAGUGGUCAAAGUUAAAGGACCACUAGAACUCAUUUCUAGAAUACAAGAUGAGUGAAAUUAGUGCGACCAAGGUUCGUGUUCACUCAACCAAUGCUCAGAAGAAGGAGUACCAUCACCGUUUAGGGCGAGGUGGUUACAUGAGUGCAAUUUCGAAAUGGAAAGGGAUUGAACAAGACCUAUUCGAUCGAGGUAUCGUACCAGCGACUAUUGACUAGCUCGAUCGAUCGAAGAAUUAGUAUUACGCUCACGGAGGCAACCUGAGCCAAGAGGAUGGGAUACUUAUUGUGCGUUUGGUUGGGAGACAAUGUAGAACGGGAUGGUCCCGUCCCAGUUUUUCGGGAUAGGAUGAUCCUAUUUCAUGUUUGGUUGAAUGUGAUGGGUCCGUCCUAAUGUUUUGUUUGGUUGGAGAGAUUGCUAUAGAGGGACGAGCACCGUUUUCUCCUUCUGUUAACACCGUUCGUGGGGCCCACCUAUCAUACUAACCGCCAUCUUCUUCCUCCACCCCGGUUCCGCUGUUGGCUCUUGGGCUCGCCGUUGCGCCGCUGGGGGAGCUUGCCCCGGGCGCGCCGCCCGUGAAUCGGGCCUCGCCGGCCUCGAGCCGCCGCUUGCCGAAUCUCAGGGGCCGUGGGGGAGCUCGCGCGCACCGGCCGUGGCGGAGGUCCCGCCCGCCGGCCGUGCUCGCCCGCGCCGGCCGUGCUCGCUCGCGCCGGCCCCUCCACCGCGGCCGGCCCCUCCGCCGGCGGCUCCCCCCCUGCCCAACCUCGCCCCCUCCACCGGUGCGGAUGGACGGCGCGUGACGGGGGCGAAGUGGGAUGCCCCCGUCCGCUUGUUUUGGUGGGAUGGGGGCAUCCCGCAUCUGGAGGGUAUAUUACCUCAUAGGGAUGUCCCCAUCCCACCUGUCUCCAAACCAAACACGGGAUGAAGUGGGAUCGUCCCGUCCCGUCCCACUUCGUCCCUCAAACCAAACACACCCUUAUGUUCAAGGCCAAAAGGCUUAUCCAAAACAUUGAAGAUGCUAAAGCAGGAAAGAUGAAGGUUGAUAGAGAUAACGAUGAGCUCACUUUGGCGCUCGGGAAUCCCGAACACCGUGGAUGUUGACGAGGCUUCAGGGUCGUUCUGUGGAAGUUUGCUUUCCGUAGGGACAUCGACACGUACAGAAGCCGCAAGAGAAGAAAGGAAUGGCAAGAGGAGAGCUAGCGGUGCAUGUUAGAAGCUAAAGUGCAUUCACAAGAAGUAAGAAUGCAGGAAGAAAUUAAUCGGCGAGUGGUCCUGGUAGUUACUGAGAUGGCUCAAUCUGGAGCACUGUCGGAUCCCAACGUCGCCAUCCCUUCUCAACGCUAAAGCACCUGUGCUUCCACAAGGGUACCCUGUGGAUGACAUCACUCAGCGCACCUCAUUUGAGCUGUAUAGACCAUUUGGUAACAUCUAUACAUAUAUAUAAUUUAUGCAAUCUUCUCAAUUGAUCCAUGCCUGGGGAGUUUAAUAACUUCUUUAUUUCUCCUAUAUGUACAGGUGGCGUACAGAAGUGCUUUACCAAUCUUGCCAGGACAGACAAGCCAUGGUAUGGAGAUUCCACCGGGCUACUCCAGCAUUGGCCUAGAGCAGAUUUGUGAUAGUCAAUAUGAAGGCCUAGAGCUCGACCUCCCGGGAGGUGACAGGGAAAGGACACUAGGAGAUGCACUUCACGAGAUCAUUCUAUGACGCGAACGUUACGUCAUCAUCCCUAGUAAGAAGGCAUCAUUGCUUCCCAUAGAUCCCCCGCAGCGACCAUCUCCUCAGAACUCAAGACCAUCUUCUCCAGCACAUCUACCUCUAGGACCGUCGUCACCACCGGGACCAUCGCAUCCUGCUCGAUCACCGUCUCCAUCUCCAUCGAAUCCUAGUGGUGCGAGCAACGAUGACCAAAACACCCCUCCCUAAUCACCGUCGCUGGGACUAAACUCUAGUGUGAGCAAGGAACUUGCAGCACCUCUGAAGAAGCCGCGACCGCUGCCUUCCAAGCCAAGGCAACCAAAGACGAAAGAACCUGUUAAGAAAACAAAGAAGCCUGAACCAAUUCAAAAGCUACCGGUCGAUAUAACUACUGAGGAAUUGCGGGAGGCAUCGCAAGCAACGGUGGAGGGUGGCAUCUCGCCAUCUCCUCAAGGUUGGAGCAUUUGACAAGCAGGAGCUCUUUUAGAUUAGGCAUGUUAUGGAAGAAGUCUCCUUGGAAGUUGCUUAUAUUUGAAUAGGAGAGAUCGAAGUAGUAGAGCGAGCUGAGCUUUUUGUUGUUGUUGUUUUCACGGAGAGUAAUUUCUGUAUCUGGAAGCUGAAUGGACUUCUGAGGUUAUAGCAGCCCCUAAGAGAAAGCAAUUGGAGUUUUUGGAGACAACAGAUUGAAGGAGGAAGUGAUUCUAGAGGAGUGUAGGAAAGAUCUAGAAUAUGGAGGCAAGAAAGCUUGGCAAAGAAAUGAUUAGAUUGAAGCUUCGUGAACAACCUCGACUGCUGAGGGCAAUGCCUUAUAAUGAGUGUUGUUGAGCCGCUGGCUCCCUGCCUUAACCAUUCUCUGCUUACAUGCCAUCCUUGACUGCCCACAUGCGAGAUGCACUGCAUGCGCUGUAGCCAAGGAUGAUUGCCCUCAAAAAGUUCAUCAUAUGUUGUGUGGUUCUCUGCAAUGAGGCCGCUAGGAAGUGUGCAUCAGAAUUUGUGGCUUCAUCAGCUUUAGUUGUAGUAGAAAAUGGAAGUUGCAGCAAGAAGGUUUGGGCCUCCUCUAGAGUCCAUAUGAAUGAAAUCAACUAGGCUUAUGGGCCGUACGCUCUAGAAGACUAGAACUUCCCGAUAAUUAAUGGAUGCUUUGCAGCAACAAUAAUGCAUGCAGGUAGAGCACGCGCUCAAUGAUACUAUACAAAUUAAGCUCUGUUCAGUGUUCCAUGCAAGACAUGAUCAUUGAUUUAGGAACAUUUAGUAAUAAUACUAAAAAGGGAGAAGAUUGAAGGUUAGACGCCAGACUAAAGGGAGUAAAUUAAAGGCAUACAUCUGGCAGUGCUCUCUCUUUUCUUCUUUUUAUAAAGAAACAAAAGAUGUAAAGAGCAAAGCAACAAUGGUUUCGAUCAAUCUGCAUGCAGUCUACCGUUGCUUUAGUUCCACCUUGUGGUUCUUUCUAAACUAAGCUACCCAGUGACUGGAGUACCCGUUGAUGAAUUGGAUGUGAAGAGCUGAAUUGACUUGAGAUAUCCAAUCAACAUUUCCUAGUUUCCAGAGUCGUGUUCAAACCUCGAAUAAGAAAUUUGUACUUAUUUAGAAACUCGGUCCUUGAUUUUUUUUUCAGAAAAAGAAAAACUCGAUCGUCAGUGCCGGUUUUUGCAUAAUUUACUUGAUACCAGAUUAGCGCAGAUCAGCCCAUGAAGCAAAUAUCCACACUACUACUAGAUGAAACAAUGCAGCAAAUUAAACAAACUUUAUUAAUUUCACACAAAGAAAACUCAGUUAUAUCCAAUUCAAUACAUAUAUAAUCAAAUGACGACAGGUUCAACAACACGUACGCAUCAUACGCACAUUACGUGCUUAGCAUGCCGAGAUGGUCAUGCAUGCUGAUCAUGAGUGGGAACAAAACAUGCACUCCCACACUAUUGUAGCAAACAAACUUAUACUCGCUCCGUCCAAAUUACUAUUCGUUUUGGAUUUUCUAGAUACGUAACUUUUGCUAUGCAUCUAGAUAUAUAUUAUGUUCAGAUACGUAGCAAAAAUUAUGUAUCUACAAAAGCUAAAACGAAUAAUAAUUUAGGAUGGAGGGAGUAUUAAUUAUUACACAAGUUUCACUUGUCACAGGCAAGCAAAGUCACCGCACAAACUGUCAAACUGAUCCAAGCAAAUUAGCACACAACAACACACACUGGCUGAAAUAUAAUAUACAAUCUGGUUGAGCUGCUACUGCUGGAUGGGCCGGCCUGCUGGGUGGGAGGCCGGUCGAUGAAGCAGUAAGACGAAGCUAAACCUUAUUUGGAAAUACCAUAACAAGGCAUACAUUGAACCAAUCAAAUUUUGGGAGGAGGCGCAUGCAGCAGGCGAAACUGGAGACGCAGGCUGUGUGCAUGAAUGGGGCGACGGAUGUUGCUGACUUAUUGCUGUGGAAUCGACAAAUCUAAUCAAAAUGUUUGGAAGCUGAACGUGUGGAUAUAUUUUUUUUUUGAACGAAUGGGCACGGGACAGUGCCUAUUUCAUUGAGAUAGUAGAAUAGUACAUGAAAGUUACAAGGAAGUUACAAAAUUAAUCUCGUAGCGCUAUUACUCUCUUGAUAAAAAAGACGCUAAGGCUCUCGCCCCCACUGAUAUCCAGGUGCUUGCUUCCUCUUUGAUUUUUGCCAACAUUGAGGUGGUUGCCAUCUCUUGGUGGUUAAAAAUUCGUCAAUUUCGCUCCUUCCAGAGUUCCCAUAUUAUUAGCAGUCCCAUAGAGCCAACUCCUUUCCGAGGUGCUUCAGUCCUUGUCGUCAUGUUGAUCCACCAAUCGAGGGCGUUGUCGAUUGGGUGCCAUUCCGAGGGUUGUAUGCUGGGUUGCGAAGCCCAAUUGGCAACGUGGCUCCAUAUUCGCCUGGUGUAUCUGCAUUGGGCCAGGAUGUGAUGUGCUGUCUCUUGUUGUCCGCGGCAUAAAGGACAAUUUGGUGAGUGAGGCCAUCCUCGUCGCGCAAGUCGAUCAGCUGUCCAGACUCGGUCCUGUAGUAUCAACCACGCGAAGAAUUUGCAUUUCGGUGGCGCCCAGCAUUUCCAUAUUGUUUUGCUGUGUGGUGCAUAAGUGGAGCCUAGGAACUGCGCCUUGUAUGCUGAUGCCGCUGAGUACUGUCCGUUUUGUGUGAAUUUCCAACGGAUUGUGUCUUCCUGUUGUUCUUGCAGCGUUACUGGUGCUAGUAGCCGCCAUAAAGUGACGAAUUCUUGCAAGUGUUGUGUUGUCAGUCCGACAUGGAUGUUAAUGUCCGCCACCCAGCUAUUAUUGUGUAGGGCUUCUGCGAGUUUUUUAUGUUUCCUCCUGGAUAGUUUAUAUAGGUUGGGCGCAAUGUCCUUUGGUCUAGUUCCCCGUUCCCAAGCUGAGUGCCAGAAGCUUGUUUUGCGUCCAUUGCCCGCUGUGAUAGUUGUGCAAGCCGCGAAUAGAUGUUGGUCAGAGUCGUCACAUGGGGUGCCCAUUCCGAUCCAUGUUUUCCCCGGGGAUUCCCACUCAUGCCAAAGCCAGCGCAGUCUCAAGGCUCUAGCGAAAUUAGUGAGGUUCAACACUCCUAGUCCGCCAUUUUCUUUCGGUAAGCAGGAUUUCAUCCAAUUGACCUUGCAUUUGCCGCCUGUCAGCAUACUACCUCCGGCCCAAACGAACCGUUUCCUGAUUUUGUCGACUUCUUCCAUUACUUCGCUUGGAGGUUUUAAGACUGUUAGCAGAUAUAACGGUUGCGCCGAGAGCACAGCUUUGGUGAGGCAGACUCGGCCUGCUUGUGUAAUGUUGCGAUUGUGCCAUCCAGAUAGCUUCUUAGCUGCUUUGUCUAUUAGUGGCUGAAAGUCCACUUUCCGUAGACGUCUUAUCGCAAGUGGUAGCCCAAGGUAUUUUAGCGGAAAGCCUGUGCGAGUGAUCGGCCACUCGGAGAGGGUUUCAUCUAGGUCCACGUUAUUGCAGCUAAUGGGGGCCACAGUUGUCUUUUGUAGAUUUGUUUGUAGUCCUGUAGCCUCACCGAAUAGGUUCAAUAGUUUUGUGACAUUUGUGACGUCUGCUUGAGUUGGCUUUAUGAAGAUGACCGCGUCAUCCGCGUACAUAGAGAUGUUGGUGCGCGGCGUACGACCACCUAGCUUUUUGAGUAGUCCCAUGCCCGUCGCCAUGUGUAUGAAUUGAUACAGUGGAUCUAUCGCCAGGAUGAAGAGGAAGGGGGACAGGGGGUCUCCUUGUCGUAGUCCUCGUCCAUGCAUUAUUGGGUCAGAUGGAAUGCCGUUUAUCAGGACCUUGGAGGUUGAUGUGGUUAGUAAAGCCGUGAUCCAGUUUCUCCAUCUUGUGGGAAAUCCUCUGUGUUGCAAUAAUUCAAGCAGGUAGUCCCAGCGUACCGAGUCAAAAGCCUUUGAGAUGUCUAGCUUCAUUAGCAACGUCGGCAUUCUGUGCCUGUGGAAUCUUCUUGCCAUAUUCCUAACAUAAAGGAAAUUGUCGUGGAUGCUUCGUCCUUUAAUGAAGGCACUUUGGCUUGGCGAUAUCAAUUUGUCCAUGUAGGGUUGAAGCCUAGUGGCCAGCAUUUUGGUAAUUAUCUUUGCUAUUGCAUGUAUGAGACUUAUCGGUCGGAAUUCAUUGAUACUCUCGGCUCCAUCCUUUUUGGGUACUAGUACAAUGUUGGCCGAGUUGAGCAAAUUUAGGUCGUUGCAUCUACCCGCGUGGAAGGCGUUUACUGUUGCUAUAAUAUCUCCUUUAAUUAUAUUCCAGCACGAUUUGAAGAACAAGCCAGUGAAGCCAUCUGGUCCCGGCGCUUUGUCCUUGGGCAGGGCAGUUAUUGCAUUUUCUAUUUCCUUAUCCGAAAAAGGGUUGUCAAUGCCGGUUAGAUCCACUGGUGGAAACUGUAGUUUUUCCCAGUCGAAAGUUUUGGUGCGGGCAGGUGGGGCAGACAUCACACCAUCGAAAUGAUUCUGGAUUAUCUGCUGUUUUUGUGAGUGCGUUACGGCCCAGUCAUUUCCCAUCCGCAAACGUUGAAUGAAGUUUUUUCUUCUUCUCCAAUUUGCCUUGAGGUGAAAAAACUUAGUAUUUGCAUCACCAUGUCGUAGAUAGGUUAUCCUAGAGCACUGUUUCCUUCUUGCUUUUUCUAUGGUUGCCCAUCCUAACAGUCUGUUUUUGAGUUUGCUCCGUAGACUGUGCUCCGGUGCAGUGAGCAAUCUUGCUUCCUCGGCUACGUCGAGGCGUAGAAUGACUUCUUGAGCCAUAUGCAUUUUUAAUCGAGCCUCAGAGAUUGGCAUUCGACUCCAUGAUCGCAGUGCUUGAGCUGUUUUGUGUAGUUUGUAGCCCAGCCUAUGGAACAGCUCAGUGUGGGUGGUCGGCUUUGACCAUUCCUUGGUAACAAUCUCAUGAAACCCUGGUAACCGUGUCCAGAAGUUUUCGAAUUUAAAUGGUGUCGGUUUGCGCGGCCCCGAUUGUUGCACCAGUAGCAAAGGGCAGUGGUCUGAAUGCGAGGAAGAGAGAGCAUGGAGGACGUGGUCGUUGAAGUGUAGGUCCCAGGGUGCAUUGCAGAAAACUCUGUCGAUUCGCGUUAGCGUCGGUUGAUGCCGCGCGUUGCUCCAGGUGAAUCUCUUGUUUUGUAGUGGUAUUUCUUUAAGGCCGCAGUAAUUAAUUGUUGCUCUGAAACGCCUCAUAAGCCUCCUAUUGAGGUUGUUGUUGUUCUUGUCUCUUGCACUGUAUAUUAAGUUAAAGUCACCCAGUAUGAGCCAUUGAGUGUUGUACUCUAGCGUCAUUGCUCGCAGGUGGCGAAGGAAGGCCGGCUUGGCUAAGUGUCGCGAUGGGCCGUAUACCGUCGUGAGUUUGAAGCGAACGUUGCUGUGUUUAACUAUUGCUGUUGCUGAGAUCGAGAACCGGUUUGUUUGAAUGUCCUGUAUGUCAAACACUCUUUCAUCCCAGAGUAAGAGGAUACCGCCCUUCGUGCCUGAAGCUGCUUGGAAUGUAAAGUUAUUUAAGCGGGAUCCCCCUAGGAGGUUAGCUAGAGCCGCGUCGAUGUUUUGCAUCUUUGUUUCUUGCAGGCAUGCGAUAUGGCAUGUUGUCGCCGCAAUGGUUUCGCGAACUGUGAGACAUCUUGCUGGUGCAUUUAGCCCUCUCAUAUUCCAGCUCAAAAUUUGGAAGUUGUCAGUCAUUUAAUUUAUUUUGUGGCGCAUGAAGUUGUACUGGUCGUUUUUGCGGAUUUUGCAGCGACUCCUGCGGUAGUGGUGUUGUGACACGCGGAAUAGUAAGCUCGUAGAUGCGCUGGUCACUGUUCGUAUGUGGUGCUGCUACUAAAUCACUCCUGUUGUCGUUGUCGCAUUUUAUCACCGUAAUAGCUGUCGCCGCAGGUUUAGGUUCGUAGUAGUAGUCGUGGCAUAGUUUGGAGUUCAAGGUUUUUGCCCGAAGGUCGCAGCCAGCAGGGCUAAGAUGAAGUCCUCCCCGAAGGUCGCAGCCAGCAGGGUGAGGAGCUGAAUUAGAAAUUACAUAAACGUCGCGGUAGCAGUAGUAGUAGUAGUAGUAGCAGCGAUACAUAAUAGAGUAGUGAGACACUUGAUGCAAUUGUCCUGGCAGGGCACUCAUGCAGCCGCAUGGUCCAACUGCUGGAGUUCUCCCACAUCAUCCCCUGCCAUCAGGAGAAGCGCUUCGUUCACUUGGUCCGCCGCGUCGUCGUCAAGGUCGAAGAGGGCGGUCAUGGCGGAGAUGACGUAGUCCGGUAGCGCCCCCUGAAACAUGUUAAGAAAAUCUUGCAACACUUGCUCGAUCGGUGCCAUCUCGUCGUUGCCUACACCUAAUUUUCUCUAGAGGUUUCGUUGUGCACGCUCGACUGCUGGCAUAGAUGGCUUUUUGGCUAGGCGUGCGCUCCGCCGCACUUUGCUCGUAUCAAAGGUGCGGCCCCUACGCAUGCGUUGCGGUGGUUGCUGCGGCAGUGCUGGUGGCGGCGGUGUUGCAAAGAGAUCGUCAAUUUGUGGUGCUGGGAUGAUUUGUGUUGUCUGUGGCGCAGGAGGUGAUGGCGUGUGCUACUCUGGCCUUAUAGAGUGGAUGGGCGUCUGGUGGGCGCUAGGUUUGUUCAGCAGGGUGCGUUGGGCCGCAGUGAAACACUCAGUGAUUGAGUUGUGGGUCAGCCCAUUAUCAUCCCCCACAGGAGAAGCCGUCUCCCUUGGCCCAAUUCGAGAUGGGCCGCCCGCCUCAUUUGUCCUUCGCGGUGGCAGAUGAGCAGGAACAGCAUUUAUUUGGGCCCCCACCUGUUGGGCCUCCUUGCCGAGCAACUUGCCCGUUGGGUGUUGGGCCGCAGCCUGCUCAUUCUGCUGGGCCGCACCCCCUACAAGUUCCAGUGCAGCCUCGACGCACAGGGCAUCAAGCGCCCGGCUGACCUCUUGGACUGGAGAAGCCGCCGCCGCCGUCGCCGUCGAGUCCUGUAGCAGCGUCGCGCGGAGCCGGUCGAAGACGCGCGGCACCUCUUGGACAGAUGGAGACGCCACUGCCGCCGUCGCCGUCGAGUCCUGUAGCAGCGUCGCGCGGAGCCGGUCGAAGACUCGCGGCAGCGGAACUGGAUCGGACCAGGCCUUUUCCCCUGGCGCCGCAUCAUCGAUGCCGAGGCGGUCGGCGAGCCAGCACGCCUUGCGGAUGUACUCAUCGGCUCCGGCGUGGCAGAAGCUCUUCCUGGCGCCCAAGGUAGAAGAGUCAGUCAUUGGGGGUACUGCGGUUACCUAGUGCUGGACGUAGUGCUUCAGUGCUGCCGCUUGCGCCGCGAAGAGAGCUUGGAGCUGCGAUGGGGCUAGGCUGGUUAGCCCCGGUGCACCAUCUUCGUGUCGUCGUCCCUGCGGAGGAGCGUAGCUUCGCCUUGGGGGGGAACGUGUGCGGUCAUGGCACACCUUCCCCGAAUCCCACCAGGAGUCGAAGCCGGUCUGCCGCCCCUAUCCUGGGUGUUCAUAGUCACCGUCUUGAUGGUCGUCGUCGUCUUCUCGGCGGGACGGCCAGACGAACGGCCAGUCAUCACAGCGCUGCCGCGCCGGGCGGCGCCUGUGACGGUCUUCUUUGGUACGCUGUUGCUGACGGGUGCUGUCAUCGCGCCAUCGUCCAUCUUCCCCAUCAUCCCCUGCAGCUCGGGCGCCAUGCUCUGUUCUGUGGCCGCCCGCAGACGCGCGCCGUCCUCCACUUGGUUCAGCACGGUGAGGAUCCGCACUAAUGUGCUCUCUCGGCGGUCGGGGGAGUCGCGCCGGGAAGCGUGAUCUGGCAUCCGAGGGCGCGCCGUCGACGAGGCCGUAGCGCCAUUCGUAGCGUCGCCGGAUGGGGACGAUGCUUUGCGGAUUAUCGAUGGCUUGCUAGAGAUCACGCGCUGCCGCCGAGUAGUCCUCCAGAAGUGGCAAGUGGAUGAAGACCUCAAAUCGGGUCCCUUGCUGCCAAGGCAGCUGCAGGGGCUCGGCCGAAACUGCAAAUGUGGAUGAUUGUGCUGCUGGAUUAUGAGUAAAAGCAAGCCAUACCUUCUUCGGGAUUUCGCUCGGAUCCACCGUCCAAGCCCACAACUCAAUAUGCCUGGAGUCCGCCGGCUGAAGAAGGUCAGUGACGAUAUGCUGGAGGGCGCACUUGUGCCCAAUGACGCGCUCGACGAUCUCCGGUGUCCAGGCGUGCGACAGGAUGUCGUCGAGGCAGAGGCGGACCCUGUAGAAGAUACGGAAGCCGAGAGCAUGUGUGAGGCUUCGCCAGGUGCGGAGGCAGAUGUCGAUGCCGUCGCCUGUGAAUCGUCCUCUCCGCCGUGCCUCCACCGCGUGUUCCGCCUGCUCGAACCGGAUGAGAUAAGGUUCAGGUUGAUGGAGCGUGACGGUGACGUCGCCUGGCCGCAGGUGGAGUUCCCUGGUGAGGAGUCUGGCGAUGUCCCUGUCGCCGGCGUCCGGUGGCAGAUGCAAUGCCCACGGGACUAGUGCACAGGCUUCCCAGUCCCGCACAUCGUGCUCAAGGUGGAAGGUAGUGGAGACGAACACCGUUUCAGCUUCUGGCCGCGUAUUUGGGUCUCCUAUGGCCAUUGUAGUUGUGGUGGUUCUUGAUUGAGGUGGAUAGGACCCGGCGGCGGGGGGGUGGCGAUGGGGGAAGUGGCGAUGUGUCGAAUGGCGGACGUUGUUGGGCGGCAGGCGGCGAGCAGGAGCAGCUUCGCGUGGCUGUGGAGAUGGCGGCAGUGUGCAAGGAUGUGUAGGUGGCGGCGGCGGGCAAGGAGACUUGUGAGUGUCGGGCCUCUGAUGAAGGUGUGGCCGUGGCGCCCUGCACUCGCGCUCCCUAUGCCCGAAGCGCCGGCACCGGAAGCAGCGGACGGGGUCACGGCAUGCCGAGGCGAGGUGAUUGGGGGCGAGGCACCGGAAGCAGCGGCCCUCAGUCGCCCGUUUGAAGGCGAGCAGCGCCCUGUUUGGUGGCCGCCUUGAAUUGUCGCUGUGGCUCCGGUCGUGUCCGCCGUCGCGUCGCUGCUCCUCGGGCCGCGCUUGCCGCCGCGUCCGUCGGCUUCGCACUGGUUGCCAGUCAUGGCUCGCCGGAUUGUGCUGAGGUAUGUCCAUUACUCCGCCGUACGGAGGUCCGGGGCGUGGCGCCGCUGACGUAGAGCCUUGAAUGCGCCGCGUAGUCGUCUUGUCGUCGGAGUUACUCCGUCCCCCAUGGGUAGGAGCGCGGUCUUCUCCGUGGUGGUGCAGAUAGGCUCGGCCGGUUGGAGUAUUGAAGCGUCUGGCUCUGACGACUUCCGCGUAAGACCGCGUCCCAUCCUUCACCCCGGGAGCUGAUUUGGUGCUGCUGGGUAGAAGAUCCAGCAGUGGGGGCUCCGGAUCCGGCGCGGUGGCCUGCAGAUCCGGUGAGCUCGGCACCCAAUCGGCCUCAAACGCCGACCGUCGGAGGAGCCGGGGGGGCGGCGGCGGGGAGCUGUUGAAGAACUGCUCCCAGGCUCGCUUGGAGGGUGGGGAUAAAGGGGAUGGGGGCUGUAGGGGCUGGGUGAGGUGCGGGUUCGCAGGGGCUUGGCGGCGGUGGGCGGUUGGCGCCGGCGGUGGUUGGCGGCGCAGCGGCGGGGGGGAGGAGCGGGGCUGGUGGGGAGCGGAACAUUUUUUCAAUACUUACGUGUGGAUAUAUGACGGCAAAUGGAGAUUGAAAAUCACAUCACGUACCGAUUAACUUGAUCAACUUGUAGGCUUGAGCAUGGUAUGUAUUCCUUCAUCAUCUGAGGUAAGUCCUGAUGACGACACGCUCGCGGAUGGAGGCGGACGCCGGGGGAAGCCUGGCCUCGUAGCUGCCGCGAUGCGAAGGCACGUCGUCCCACCACAGCUUGGUCCACCAGGCCCGCUCCCCACUCACCUUCACGGCCUUGUCUGGUUUCUGGUCGAGGCGCGGGAGGCGGCGCAAGCUCCAGCACCCACGGACGUGGAGCUCCUCCCACGCGGGCGCGGUCAGGAUGGGGUUGUCGACGUGGAGUUUCUCCAAAAGUGGCAGCUCCUGGAGGCGUAUCCUUCGGAGGCGAGGGAGCUCGUAAUAAUUACAAGGAUCAUUAAUGCCGUCGUCGUAGAAAAUUGCCUUGAGGUUGUAGCAGAAGCGGAUGUCCAGUGUCACAAGACUUGGCAGUGCAGAUGGACUUGAUAUUACAGCCUCCAAUCUCGGGCAGUACUCUAGGUGUAGGUGCUUCAGUGUAUCGAAACCAGGGGAGUCACCACGGUUGAAACGGGUUAGACUUUUCAGAUGGGAGACAAAUGCAUGCCUCACAGUUCUCACAUAGUCACUAAAGACUUCUUGCAUCUGAUGGCACCGUUGCAGCUUACAUUCCUCCAGCUCACUAUCCAAAUAACCCAGAUGAUCACCGAGACAGGAGAUGUGAGUGUCAUCUGACAUGCUAAUUGACUUUGUGACUCGUAGAAGAUAAUCUAGACCACGGGGAUACCGAUCCACGGCUGAGAUCUCCAGGUGACGCUCAGCCUCCCGAAAGGGAGGCACGUCAUCCAUUGACACCAUAAAGACUACUCCAUCUGUCAGAUAGUGAUGGUUUACAUCAGCAUAUGCUGUCAGUGCUACUUGAAGCCUGUCGGUUUUCACCAUGUCCUCUUCAUCAUGUAUCUCCCUAGUUGUGGCCUUGCAUGAUGUAACUCGAACAUAGAAAGAUUUCAAAAGGCUUCCACCUCUUACUAAAUCCCUGGUGCUCGAGUCGAAGCUAUAAAAGAAUCUGGAAUCACUUACGCACACCUGAGCAUCUUGUGGAUUGGAAUGAUUACCAGUUUUGUCUGAGCAUUGAUCCAAGCAAAACACACCUGGGAGUCUCUGUAGCUUAUGCCAAGGAAAUCGUUUGAGGAAUGGAACGCCCAUGAGAAGCAAUCGCCUAAGCUGGGGUAGAUUAGGAAUGUCCUCUGGGAGCUCUCUGAUAGCUGUAGCAGACAAAUCAAGCUCCUCCAAAGCAUCAACCUCCUUAAUGUCAACAUGCUCCAACAUUGUACAUCCACGCAAGGACAACCGCCUCAUAUGAGGUGCACCGAUGAAUGUGAAUGAUCUCAGGGUUGGGUGCCUCUCUAAAGUUACCUCUACUUCUGUCAUUGGCUCACAUCCUUCAAUAUGUAUAUUGAUCAAGCCACAUAAUUUGGAAACCAACCCUGGUACAAACAACAAUUUCUUGUUCUCGGUUAGCUUGAGUGAUUGGAGCUUCUUCAUUUCCUCAAACAUCUCCCUAGGAAAAGAUUUUAUUUGAGUCCUUGUGAGCUCGAGUGUUGUUAGACUAGACAAUGCAACAAUGGAGGGUGGCAUCUCCUCAAGGUUGGAGCAUUUGACAAGCAGGAGCUCUUUUAGAUUAGGCAUGUUAUGGAAGAAGUCGCCUUGGAAGUUGCUUAUAUUUGAAUAGGAGAGAUCGAAGUAGUAGAGCGAGCUGAGCUUUUUGUUGUUGUUGUUUUCACGGAGAGUAAUUUCUGUAUCUGGGAAGCUGAAUGGACUUCUGAGGUUAUAGCAGCCCCUAAGAGAAAGCAAUUGGAGUUUUUGGAGACAACAGAUUGAAGGAGGAAGUGAUUCUAGAGGAGUGUAGGAAAGAUCCAAAACAUGAAGGCAAGAAAGCUUGGCCAAGAAAUGAUUAGAUUGAAGCUUCAUGAACAACCUCGACUGCUGGGGGCAAUGCCUUAUAAUGAGUGUUGUUGGGCCGCUGGCUCCCUGCCUUAACCAUUCUCUGCUUACAUGCCAU
rnacentral:lncRNA from 1 species